CGGGCCAUAGCAGUCACAUCUGUUUUGUUUAUGGGCUUGGAAGAUCUGACCCACCAUCCUUUCACUAUAGUCAAUUCCAGUGGCAAUCUAUGUCCACCACUACUCAAUGUACUCAUCCUACAUCUGGAGUUCAAUCAGAAGCCUAAUUUUGAAGAGUGCAUUAGCCCUACCAAUCGGGAAAAAAAAUCUCAUCACAAGUCCUUUCAAGCGUUCCUACAUCCACUUGUUCUUCAGGGAGGAACAGAGUCACAAUGCUACAAUGGAUUAGUCGCCUAUUAACAAAUUCAAAUUUCCCUCAGAAUGGACGCCGCAAGACGGCCUCAUUAUGGUGUUCUUAUCAAACAGGUUCAGUUCAUGAUACCUGCACCAUGCAAAUAAGCAUAAAAGUUAGCAUAUUCUUCAGAAUACAGUGAUUUACAGUGUAUUUGAAAAAGUACCCGUUACCGGUGACUUGCAAUGGACAUGUUUUUUAUGCAUACACUAGUUACAAGUGUGGUGCAAAGCAUUUUCUUAGACAAUAUUUUACUAUGAUCCAUAGCAAUCGGUAUGUGUUAUGGUUUAGCGUACCACUUCACUAUGAUGAAAGUCAGACCAUGAUGUAAGGCAUCUUAACAAAUUCAUCAAGGUUGUGUCGCUACUCGCUAGAGCCAAUCAUCAAAGGAACAUAGUACAAGAUAUAACUCCCAUUUUAGCAUGUGAGCAUGAACCACGAAGGAAAAGGUUAACAGUCAAAAUUAAGUGUCCAUAUAGAAUCUGUGUAACUCUCUGCCAUUGCAUAUUCGGAUGUUCCAGAGAUGCAGAUAAAAAUAAUGUGAGACGAAUGUUAGGGUCUUAUGGAUAUCAAGCAAAAGGCAAGUCUUAUCAACCUCAUGGAAAAAUAAAGUCACCGAGUGUCGAACUAUUCAUCAAUUAAGCUUAACAAUAGAUAUAACCUCUGAAACUGGCUUAAAAGCACAAGCUAACAAUGCACCUCUAAGGGCAGCCACAAUGUUGCAAAAAGUUAGCAUUAGGCAAUAAAUACAGCAUUGUUUAAAAGCAACAUACAUUGUGGGAUUGCACCAUAGGAAAAGAUUCCUUAAGGUGUGUCCUAAGCUUAAGGCUGAACGUAAGCAAUAAAAAAAUAUUUUCUCUCUCUUCUUCUCUCCCUCUCCCUCCAUCUCGUAUUCGCGCCACUACCGGGAGCUUGCCGCGUUUGCCCCUGCACCAUGGCAAGCUCAAUGGAGAGCUGUUCUGGCCAAGAACUCGAUGCCCAUGCAGGGAUGAGGACUUACCCGAUGACACGAGCUUUGGAAGGGCUUGCGACCUUUGAGCAUACCCAAGCACAGACGAGGCGGCAUGCGGAGCUGGCCGAGCAAACCUCUUCGCGAGCGCCUAGCGCGUGCCCAGCUCGGCCAUGGGCGUGUGCCAUGCCCACGCCCAUGGCCCUACCAGUAUCUGCUCUACUCGCUCCCUCCUCUGAAUCUCCUCCACCGAGUAGAGAGAAGAAAGUGUUUCUUGAUUCAGCAGGAGGGCAACUCGAUCCGAUAGUUGAAGCUCCGAUUGCAGCAAACAAUAUAGCUAUGUGUCUUGUUGUGGAGAGAGGAUCCGGAGGAUUUGGCUCCGGACGGAGGAAAACGAGCAUCAAAGCGUGCGAGAGAGACGGAGGGGAUGAUGGGAGGGAGAGGAUAGGGAUGGUUGGGAAGGUUGCUGUUUUUUUAUUGUAGCGUGGGUACCGCAUUAAGACUCACACAUUGCGUCACGGGUGUCAACUAUUGCCGAUUUUGUCUGGGACCCACCUUAAGGUGCAGUUGGUCCAUUACCAUUGCCUUUGCCCUAACUGAAACAUUUGCAUCUUCAUGUUUUAACCAAUAAACAUAAAAAAGCACCCCAAAAGUAAGAUAAAGCUAUUAAGUUGCAUGCACCAACCAAUUCAACCCAAAUGCAGGCUCCCUCAGGCUGUAUGUGGAAAUUGGAGUGGGUUGCAAUUAUUUUAUUUAAUUGCACCUGCCAGGAUUCAAACUCGAGACCAAAGGGGAGGCGAUGCCGAUCAGGCUGCCCUUCCCAGGCCAAUUGGCCCAGCCUCCUUUGGUGGCUGCUGGCGCCCCCGUUUGGGUGGAGGUGAAGAGGUACGAUCUUCAUCCCAAAUCUCCGCCAAGGGGCCCUCGCAAUGAUUGCAUCAGGGUUGGAGGCAAGGUACCGUCUGGAUUGCUCGCAGAUCGUAAGUUCGUCAUCUUCUCAAGUGAUAACAAGGCACCGACGAUGCCGAGCAAAAUUACUGUAGUCGCACCAACAAGGCAUUGAACAAUGGUCUGCGGGAUCAAGCACAAGAGCUAUAUGGAGAAGACGCUCGAGUACUUGCCAGCUGACUAUGUAGGUGAUAGCGACUAGGAGGACAAUAGGUGCCUCGGAUUGUAGGGUGCUACAGACCGUGAUGAAGAAGAAGAUUCCAACACGUACUGAGAUUGGGCUGUUUCUUGGAAGAAAAGAAAGGAGGAAGAGGAACACCAUCAAGACAAGGGCAAAGAGAAAGAUCUAGAAGAUGACGGGCCAGAACCGGAGGAGCAUGAUCGUACGUGUUGUACCGCUUGCAGGAACAACAUCCACUACCUCUUCGACGCCAUCGACGGCAUCAAGCAUAAAUUGCAAGCUCUGAAUCGAAAGGUUGAAGUCGAUUAUUGCCGUCAAGAGGAUGACUUCAAGUUCUUGCAGAGGAACAUGAGAAAGCUCUUCAGGAUGUGCGGCAAUAUGAGGAAGAAUAGAGCUAAUGGUGAAGGAAUCAACAAGGGUUCCGUGUGCGAGGAGUACAGGACGCGUCACUAGGAAUGUCCAAAUGUUUUUUUCAAAGUUUCAGUUUUGCAUAUCUAAAAUUCUUGUGGGAGUGUCCACCUAUGAACGUAGUUUGUUUAAUUUUUAAUAAAUAUUUCAAUUUGGAUUGUUAGUUAUAUGUUAUUUCAGUUUCAAUAAUAUAGUAACUAUCCAUUAUUACAUUAUAUAUGGUAAGCAAUCCUUUUUUUAUCAUGUGUGUGCGCAUCUGCACAUCCACUAGACAUACAGGACAAUCUGAUCGGCCUAUUGCCAAUUUUCACAAUUCUGUUGCAAAGUCUAUUGCAAAUGAGAUAUUAUAUUUUGAAUGAAGGCCUCUGGUACUUAAUUUAUGUUUACUGGAAAUCUAUACGACUUCUUUUGAAGAAAAAUGCAGCAUUAAAUAAUAUCAACAUGGGCUGUGAGGGAAAGGGAAGAGAUGAUAACAGAGCUAUUCAUGAAACUGUACUUUCCAUGUGAGUGUACUACCUAUUUAGGUAUGAUUCUAGUAUGUAUUUGGAAGGUAUUAUUUAUGAAAGGUAUAUAUUGAUUAAUUGUGAAAGGUAUUAGACACCCGGUUAUUCAGUACUGCUCAACAUCGAUCCUUCCCCGAUGAUGCUCCCGGAGUUCGAGAGGAUAAUCCAGGGACGGCAACAAUUCGCACAUGUGGUUACCCCAAGAACAAGACCCAGCAACGAGGACCUUGCCAUCACACAGUCUCCAAUCUCCCCCCAGUGAGAUUCCCUUUGGUGAACUCCGUCACCGCAUUUUAGAAUUUCUGGUAGAUGAAUAUGGUCUGGUGGUCCGGGAAGUUCAGUGAUGCCCAUUUGGUGGAGGCCAGGCAUUUGUGCGUCUGGACUGACUCUCAAACAGGGAUGCUUUGGUUCACCAUAGUCCGCACUUUCAUGAAGGGCUAGGUUUCGAGUUUGUCAAUCACAACAGGGGGGCCAAUGCUAGAAGGGUAUUUUUUUUAAUAGAGAAUGCUAGCUCAUGUUGAUAGGAUAUCCAGUGGAUAAUCGCUCAACAGCAAAGAUUGAGGACACCAUCAAGUCCUUUGGAAGGUUCAUCUUGUGGCAGAGGGACAAUGUACUUUCCAGAGUCAUUACCAAAGUAAGAACUACUGAUUUGGUGGAUAUUGCACAUUAUCUAAUAAUGUCUGAAGGAGAUGACCUCGAGGGAAUAUCCCAGAUAGUUCAGUGUGAGAUCAUUCAACACAGCAUGAUGGGUGACCUUCUGAUGGAUGAAGACAUUCCCCCUGAGGUUUUGUGGAUGACUUUAUAGUCCUUGGCUUCCUGGGCCCCGAUGAACUGCUUGCUCCUUUUCACCCUCCUGGGCCCCUAAACCUCAACGUCAACCCAGCAUUGCCUGACCUGAAUGCAAAUCCCGAUGAGGCCAUGCCUGAAGCAUACCCAUGGCCAGAAGUUGAUGAUGUAGCAGUUCAAGAGGAGAACUAGGAAGAAGAAGUUCAACAAGAUGAACUAGACCUCCAUGUCCAGGAGCUUCCAGUUCAGGAGGCUAAAGAAGAUCAAGUCAUGAUGUUAGUUAAUCCUGCACAAGAUCAGCAACCAACAGAGCAGAAUGAAUAGGAGAUCUUGGGCGACAACACCAAUGUCAACAUGGCCCUUUCCAUACUGUCAGGAGGGGACCUGGACUCAAGGAUUUCUUCGGCAAGCUGGUAAGACCCACAACACCAAAACCUGACUUAUAUAGGUUGUGGGCGAAGCAUUUCUCUCCUGUCGGCUGUCCAGAGCAAGUUGUGCAUAUUCCAAGUGGUUGGGCUCCUUUUUACUCUUAAAUUAAUAGAAUGUGUAUUUUGUAUCACCUUUUUAACUCUAAAUGAUAGUUUCAUGUUAAUGUGAAGUAGGUUUUUGCAUGAUGGAUGACGAGAAAUAUUGAUGUUUUUACAGUUUACUUUAAUAUCUUUUUAAUUUUUUACAUGCAUUUUUAUUAACACUUGUAUGUAAUCUUUUUUUAUCACGUGCGGGCGCACGUACACGUCCACAAGUUUUUAUGAAAAAAAACCACCAAAGAUAGGAUAGGCCAUGCAAUUCGUGCCCAUGCCAGGCAAGGCCUCACGUUUACACACCUUUGUGAGGUGGAUGAGUCGAGCUAGCCGUCAGAGUUGGCGAGACUCGGGAGUAUGUUACGUACUCGUGGCGGAUGUGGCUCCAAGCUGAGCUUAGGAGAGUUUCCUCUCCAUCAUCCUUCCGUCCCUCCCCUCUCUUCUUCGAUCUUCCUUAAAAAAUCAUAAAAUCAUGGGAAGCUCCCCGCCCGCCCCACCGCAAGCCCGCCUAUCAACGCGUACUGGAAGCCAGCUAAGUGUCCUUUCUCUCGCAUCGUGUCAUCAAUUCGGGGCCGCGGCCAAGCGGACUCGGGUCUUGUUUAGUUGCCCAACUUUGGGGUGCCCAAAUUACUGUAGCAAUACUGUAGCGUUUCGUUUGUAUUUGUGAAUUAUUGUCCAAAUAUUGACUAAUUAGGCUCAAAAGAUUCGUCUCGCAAAGUACAACAAAACUGUGCAAUUAGGUUUUAAUUUCGUCUACAUUCAGUACUCCAUGCAUGUACCGUAAGUUUGAUGUGAUGGAAAUCUUCUUUUUGCAUAGUGUCAAAGUUGGGAUUUAGGGUGAACUAAACAAGACCUCGGCGUAAAGAUCGCAGUCAGGCAGCUGGGAGUUGUCCGUGAUACCAAUUGAAAUGACUGCAGGGGCAUCCGUGAUUUUGCCAAUUGGACGAUGCAAGGAGUUGUCCGGUCUCCAUUGCGCGCGUCAGAAAGAAGCAGGGCAGGUUGUCCACUCCAUUUAAUUACGUGCUGUACGUGCCCCAAGUUUUGUCGUGAAGUUGGUGUGAUGGCAAUACGUGCAGUUGACAAGACAAAGAUCACUUAGGGGUGUUUGAUACACCUUUAGCACCUGUCACAUCGGAUAUUUGAAUGUUAAUUAGAAGUAUUAAAUAUAGGUUAAUUACAAAAUUAAUUGCAAAGAUGGGGUCUAAUUCGUGAGACGAAUCUAUUGAGCCUAAUUAGUCCAUGAUUUGACAAUGUUGUGCUACAGUAACCAUUUGCUAAUGAUGGAUUAAUUAGGCUUAAUAGAUUCGUCUCGCGAAUUAGCACAGGGUUCUGCAAUUAGUUUUAUAAUUAGCUUAUGUUUAGUCCUCCUAAUUAGCAUCCGAACAUCCGAUGUGAUACUGCUAAAAUUUAGCUUGCACACCUCAUGCACCCCAUCAGCAGUAGAUGCGAUGACUAGCGACCGAUCGAACUGGCCGAGGAACAAGAACCUGUUCUCAAAAUUAACUUCAUCCACUAAAUUUAAUUUACUUGUCUAUUAAUAAUUAAUUUGGUGAACACUACUACAGUACUACGCUCAAGAGCAUGUACGUUACAGUCUAGCACAUAAUUAGAGAACAAUGGCUACGUACAUCUGCCAGUGGAGCACGGGAGAAACGAUAGGCUCACCCAACAAGCGAAUCCGAUGACACACCACAUGCGGCAGAUGAUUGUGCUGGGAGAGUGUUGGCGUAUAGAUUGAUUGCUCAAUUAUUUCAACAUGCAUGUGACCGGUCAUUAAUUCGGCUGCCAACAUGCCGGCACUGCAGCGCUGGAUUUAUAUGUGCGUUGGAUAGAUAGACAUGCAUGUCCAUGUCGACAUCAUUUUCGUAACGAUAAUGUGCAUGCAUCAACUUAAAUGCCGAGCUGGCGUAACCCAUGUUAUUCACGAUGAACGAACACAAUUUUCAACAGCGUGGAAACUAAUCACUCAGCUCCGGGAAGACAAUACAAAGGUACUACCUCUGAAUCAAUCGUCUAUGCAUGUGCAUGUGCAUGCGUUACCGUGAAGGUCGCCUUGGGAUAUGUUCGAGUCCUUCGUGUGCCAUCGUCCCAUCAGUUCGCGGACAUCAUGACGAAAGGUCUACUGGUACAGCUGUUCACUAACUAUAGGUUCAAUCUUUGCGUUCGAGAACCUUCCGCUGUGACUGCAGGUGGGUAUUAGGCAAUGUAUAGCCAUAUAUAGUUAUUUUAUAGUUUUUCAUGUAUACUUGAUUGUAUUCCUUGUAUACCAAGUCAUAUUGACUGUAUAUUAAAGGUCACCCCUCUCGUUAGGGUGUGUGGUGUUUCCUCAUAUUCUAUCUCUCUACACUUAUUUUUUCUCUCUCUCUCUUGCCUCCUCUCUCUCUCCUAGAUCUAGAUCUAGAUCUAGAUGACAAGCUAAUGAAGGUUGGAAUAGCAUAAACUCACCUUAUAUAGCCACCUCCUCCAAGAACUUCUCCAAGGAAAUCAAGAGCAAAACCUCUCCCUCUAGAUUUGGUGUUUUUAGGCUUUUCCCGAGCUCUUCUCGGGCAAGCGUCAAAAUGGAAGGUUGCCUAGGGAGGAAGAUGAGUAGAAGCUUUUAUACUGUGCUUUAUGCUAGCGGGCGACAUAAGCCAACCAUCAGCACAGUGUCUCUCUGUGCUGGCAGGCGACAUAAGCCAAACACCAGCACAGGUCACCCAUCUAUACUGGCGGUGGGCUUAUGUUCGCCCGCCAGCACAGAUGGGGUGACCUAUGCUGGCGGGUGCUUACGUUGCCUGCUAGCAUAGUGACCUUUGUUGUAUAACUGCAGCACGAAGCUCCAAAUCAAAAUGAAGCAAGGCAGACCAUCUGUUGCCAAGACGCGAGUGCUUAUUGGAGUGCUAGUCGGGUAAUCUGUUGGCAAGGCAUACCAAAUAUGCCUUGCCAACAGAUUACCCAACCAGCACUCCUAUAAUAGGACAAUACCGCGAAGGAAGAAGAGCCACACUCUCCACAUUGAAGCCCAAAACCUAUAGUCAGGUCCUUUAAUUCCAACAUGUAAUAUAUCAAGUGCUUCAGAUCCUUGCACGUCCUAAUCUGCCAUACCAAUCAGUACUUGUACCUAUACAUAUACCAGUUAGCUAGUCAACAUGAGAGAAUACGUGUAUUGCAGACCAUCUGCCAACUGGAAAGCAUCAACAUUUCCCCGACGGAACUGGAUGUUAGCAUCGAUGACCAACAUUUCCCAGACGUAACCCCUUAGAUUAGGUGUUUUUAGAUUAGGUAUUUUUUGGCUUUUCCCAAGCUCCUCUCGUGCAAGCGCCAAAUUGGAAGGUUACCUGAGGAGAAAGAUGAAUAGGAGCUUUUACACUGUGCUCUAGCACAAUGUCUCUCUGUGCUGGUGGACGACAUAAGCCAAACGCCAGCACAGGUCACUCAUCUAUGUUGGUGGUGGGCUUAUGUCGUCCGCCAGUGGCUAUCUAUGCUGACAGGUGGUUAUGUCACCCACCAGCACAGAUGGGGUGACCUGUGCUAGCGGGUGCUUGCGUCGCCCACCAGCUUAGUGGCUACUGUGCUAGCGGACGCUUUCCCGCCAGCCCGACAAUUCUUUAUGCUCGCCCCCACCAGCACGCUGAUUUCCCUGUACCAUCACAAAUCGAUUGGCGUGUACGUUCCGGUCCCGUGCUUGCUCGUCGUAGAGCGCGUCCUCGGAUUCAUCCUCAUCCUCCCCUUCCUCCUCUUCCAUCCUCCGCAAAUUCCCACCGGCAGCGACAUCCGCCUGCUCCUCCGGCCCCGGCGCCUCCACGUCAGCAGCGGUAUCCGCCUGCUCCUUAGACUCCGGCGGGGGCGAGGGAUGCGCCCCCUCCCCGGCGGCCUCGGUGUCUUGCUCGACGGGGGCCGUUGGCGAGGGGCGUUUAGCCUUUUCAGGUUCGGGCUCCAGCUCGGUCAUCCGCUCACUUUAACGGGAAUGUUAACUUUCUAUCGUGCUUUGCCGGUGCUCAAUUUCCUGUGUGUUUUCUUUCUGGCAGUAUCCUGUCAUCCAGAAAGAAAAAAAGAAGAAGCGGAUAGUAGCACGGAGAGAUGGCUCAUGAAAAGCUCAUGGUGACGAUGGCGUUGGCCAGCCUACGAUGGGUGGCAUCGCCAAUUACCAACAAGCUCCUCGCCGACGCCUCAACCUACCUUGGCAUGGACAUGUCGCGUGAGCUCCAAGAACUGGAGAGCACCAUCCUGCCCCAGUUUGAGCUGGUGAUCGAGGCGGCGGAGAAGAGCCCUCACAGGGGCAAGCUGGAGAAAUGGCUCCAGGACCUCAAAGCGGCCUUCUACAACGCCGAGGACGUGCUGGAUGAGCACGAGUACAACAAGCUCAAGCGCAACGCGAAGCAGAGCAAGUGGGCUGCCAUGGCCUGCGGCGGCUCCUGGCCGCCGGGCAGGCUUGCCAACUUGCACCCAGGGAACAGAAGGCUUCUUCGUCAGGUCAAUGAGCUGAAGGACAUCCUGGUGAAGGCCAAGAGCUUCCGCCAGCAGCUUGGCGUCUUGCCGGCUGUGGGAGAUAGUUCACAGUCACAGGGAACUGCAACUGCAACAACAUCAUUUCCGAUUUCCAAGGUGUUGGGCCGCGACAUGGAGCGCGAUCACAUAAUACAAUUUCUUUCAAAUGAUGAGGCUUCUUCUGGGUCUGGUUCAGCAAGGAUCUCAAGUUUGGCCAUUGUUGGGUUUGGAGGCAUGGGUAAAUCCAGCUUGGCACAAUAUGUUUACAAUGACAAGAGGGUAGAGGAAUACUUUGGUAAAAGGAUGUGGGUUUGCAUAUCACGCAAACUCGAUGUCCGUCGCCAUACACGGGAGAUUAUCGAGUCCGCAGAAAAGGGGGAGUGCCCAAUUGUGGAUAACCUUGAUACUCUCCAGUACAAGUUAAGGGACAUUCUGCAGAAAUCAGAGAGAUUCCUGCUUGUAUUGGAUGAUGUGUGGUUUGAUGAAUCCAACGUGGAAAGAGAAUGGGAGCAACUUCUAUCUCCCCUAGCUUCCCUAGCUUCUAAGCAGAGGGGAAGCAAAAUUCUGGUGACUUCUCGGCGCAAUGUAUUCCCAGCUGCUCUUUGCUGUCAAGAGGUGUUUGAUUUACAAGACAUGGAAGAUUCUGCAUUCUUGACACUCCUCAGAGAACAUGCCUUCUCUGGUGCUGAAAUCAGGGACGCGCAGUUGCAUAUGAACCUCGAAGGGAUUGCAAAGAAGAUAGCUAGAAGGCUUGGACAAUCUCUCUUGGCAGCAAAAACUGUGGGUUCACAGUUGAGUAGGAAAAAGGAUGUUACUACAUGGACAGCUGCUCUAAGGAGUGACAACUUAAGUGAGCCUAUGACAGCUCUGCUGUGGAGUUACGAGAAGUUAGAUCCUCGUCUGCAGAGGUGCUUCCUGUAUUGCAGCUUAUUUCCAAAAGGGCACAAGUAUACAUAUCAGGAGUUGGUUCCCCUCUGGACAGCAGAGGGUUUUAUCGAUUUGAGUAGCCAGAGCAGAAGAAUGCAAGAUAUCGGCAGCAAUUACCUGAAUGAGUUGAUCGCUUGUUCAUUCUUGCAACCAGGUUCUGGUAGAUUUGGUUUUGGAUGUUAUAUCAUGCAUGACCUCUUACAUGAUUUGGCAGAAAAACUCUCCAGAGAUGAUUGCUUCAGAUUAGAAGAUGAUGAUAUGGCAGAAAUACCCUGCACCGUUCGGCAUCUCUCAGUCCAUGUUAAGAGCAUGAAGCAGCAUAAGCAAAGUAUCUGCAAGCUACGCCAUCUGCGCACUGUUAUCUGUAUUGGUCCUCUGGUGGAUGAUGCAGAUGAUGUUUUCCAUCAGGUACUGCAGAAUCUGAAGAGGCUACGUGUUCUCUAUAUGUGCUUUUACAACAAAGAAAAAUUACCUGUAUCUGUUGGUGAGUUGAAGCACCUUCGGUAUUUGAACGUCAUUCAAACCACAAUAUCAGAAUUUCCUGCAUCUUUGUGCACUCUAUACCACUUGCAGAUCCUUCUGUUCAGCUACAGAGUAGAGAGUUUGCCUAAGAAACUACGCAAUUUAAGUAAGUUACUAAGUUUUGAACCAUAUGGUGGAGAAUCCUACUUGAAGAGUCCUGACGCAGAGCUGCCUCAAAUUCCUUACAUAGGCAAGCUAACUUCGCUGCAAAAUCUUGAUGAUUCCGUGUGCAAAAGCAGAAGGGAUAUGAGCCGCGACAGCUGAGGGACAUGAAUGGGCUUGGUGGCAGGUUAUGUAUUACACAUCUCGAGAAUGUCACUAGAAAGGAUGAAGCUGCAGAGAUGAUGCUGCAUAAGAAAAGGUAUCUGGAGCAGUGAGAGUGACUCGCAUGCUGAGGAUAGUUUACAUCUGGACAUUCUAGAAGGUCUGAGGCACCGGCUCAAUUGGAGGGCCUAUUAAUCAAGGGUUACAAAUCUGUCAGAUACCCAAGCUGGUUACUAGAGGGUUCAUAUUUUGACAAUUUGAAAUUCUUUCGACUUCAUGAUUGCACUGCGUUAGAAGGUCUACCACUCAACACCGAGGUCUUUAGGCAUUGCUCCAGACUGGUGAUCUUGGACGUACCAAACCUGAAGACAUUACCUUGUCUGCCAAAAGGCAUUGCAUAUGUUGAUAUUGAAGGAUGCCCGCUGCUUAUGUUUAUCUCCAGCAACGAGAUGAGAGAACAUGAUAAGAGAGAAAAGAUUGUGAUGCCAGAGCAAUUGGUGUCUCAGGUUUGUUUAAUCUGGGAGUUGGAUUCAGGAUCAGAUCCAGUGAUUAAGAGCAACCUUCAUGAAGAACAUUCAUCUUUGAAGCAACUAACGCCAUUGGUGGAUGCUGAUAUAUCCCAAAAUCUUCAGACCAUCAGCGGGACCUUUGAACAAGAAAAAGAUGAAGUAUAUGAUAAAGAAACAAUCAUCAAGGCAUGGUUAUGUUGCCACGAGCAGAGAAUAAAACUCUUGUAUGGGACUAAUAUUGGGCAACAGUUGCUUCUGCCAUCAACUCUGCGUCACCUUAGUCUUUCUUCAUGCAGUAUUACAAAUGGCGCUUUUGGAGUUUGCCUAGGCAGCCUCACUUCACUAAGAGAACUGUCACUAACAAGGAUAAUGACUUUAACUGCACUUCCAUCAGAAGAGGUCUUCCAACAUUUGACAGCACUUGACGACUUGCGGAUUGAUUCUUGCUGGUGUCUCAGAUCAUUAGGGGGAUUGCGACAGGCUACCGUUGUUACCAAAGUUUCUAUUGAUUGCUGCCCUUCCUUAGAGCUGACAUGCGGAGCAGAAUCUAUGCCGUUGUUUCUUGAGACGCUUAGCAUAGAUGGCUGUGUGCUUGCAGCUGAUUUCUUAAGCAAUGGAUUGACACAUCUGAAACAUCUGUACAUGUAUAGGUGUAGAAGCUCUGCAUCCUUGUCAAUUGGCCAUCUAACCUCCCUCGAAUCAUUUUGGUUACAUAAUGUUCCGGAUUUAUGCAUGCUUGAAGGAUCGUCUUCGCUGCAACUUCAGGAUGUACAGUUAGUAGAUGUCCCAAAGCUGUCUGCGGGAUUCAUCUCGCAGUGCUGUGUCCAGAAAUCACUCCGUGUUAGCAGAUCUGAUAUCCUCAACCACUUGCUCUCAGCUGAAGGCUGUACAGGUCCAGAGCAGGUCCUAAUCCAAAGUUGCAACGAGACAUCUAUUUUCUUUGAGGCCUCUGCAAAUUUUACGUCUGUCAAGGAGCUGGUAAUUUCUGAAUGCAGAAUUCAGUCAGUGCCAAAAAAUAUGAAGGACCUCUCCUGUAUGGAGAAGCUCGAAAUUGAGGAGUGCCCAAACAUAUCAUCCUUACCGGAUCUGCCAAGUUCCCUCAAGCAAAUAACCAUAUACAAUUGUAAACUCUUGUCGAAGAACUGCCAAGAACCUGACGGAAUAAGCUGGCCAAAGAUCGUCCAUAUCCCUUGGAGGUACAUCUAUUGAAUUGCGCUUCUAAUCCCUGAGGAGAAACAAAUAAGGUGAAGCUUCUACUGAUAUACAACUUGAGGACUCCUUUUUUUUACAAUUAUACAUCAUUUGCUCCAUUGAUCCAUUUGCUUUGGAUGUUCAAUCUUAUUUACGAUUCAAUGUUUUCCUCCGCUAAGGUACGCUUGUGACAGCUCAACCGCGGACUGUUUCAUGCCCGUGGCCCAUUUCAACUUCUGUUCUGAUACCGACAUAUUGCGCCUCUGACCGCUUGCUCCCUUCUACUGCCUCAGCUUCUGCUGCUGUGUGUUGUAAAAUAAAUUGCCAAGCAAAUAUGGAAAUGGAAAUGCUUGUUGUACCAUUGGAACCCGUAAAUAUUACGCCUAGCAUGUAAACUAUGGUAUUGUACCUGUAAAAAGAACAUGUAAAUGUUCGUUGCGUCAUUAAAGCACAGGACAUUGUUCCGUUAAUUUGGUUGCUUUAUACUGUAUAUAAAAACAAAUGGGAUUGGUUAUGCAAAAUUCCAUCUUUUUUUUCCUAUCUCCAUCUCAGUCAAAUCCCUGAAACAUUUUAACCCAAAUAGACGGCUAGAUCCACCAAUUUCUAAAAGAAUACAUAUACGAAUCUUAAUAAAACAAAUACAAGUAGGGGACCUCCCCUUGCCUAGUUCAGGAGGAAGUUAGGGAGUUCUGAUGCAAAAUUGACAAUCCAUGGUUUUGUACUGAAUAAGUUGCUUUGCUUAUUUAGCGUGUCUGCUCACAGUUGAAGUCGCCGUGUGUGAUCUUUUUUGAUAAUUUACUGUUAUUGUAUCGCUGUGGCGAUUGCAAUCUGCAGGAAAUACAAAGGGUUCUUUACCACCCUUUGGUUCAUCCGGAAAGCGAGCAAUGAAGGACCAAGGAUUCAACAACAAGACAUGAACAGUUGCAAUACAUUCAUCAUUAAUGAAAUCUGCCUUUUCCACGGUCUAUAUUGUGGGAAGUCUUGUCUAUCUCACGGUCACAAGACAUGAUAUUGCUCAUGCAAUUCAUAUUUUGAGUCAGUUUGUGAGUGCUCCUAGUUCUAUCCAUUUUGUACAUUUGCUUCGUGUGCUAAGAUAUUUAAAGGGAACAUCAUCUCAGUGCAUGUUCUAUGCUUCUGAUAGUCCACUUGAGCUUCAUGCUUACUCAGAUUCUACUUGGGCCAGUGAUCCUACAUAUCGUCAUUCUGUCACAGGUUAUUGUAUUCUUCUUGGUUCUUCUCCUAUUGCAUGGAAGUCCAAGAAGCAAGCGGCCGUGUCUUGAUCCAGCACAGAAGCAGAACUUCGAGCCCUUGCCACUACUACUUCAGAGAUCGUAUGGCUGAAAUGGUUGUUAGGUGAUUUUGGUAUAUCUUGUGAUGCCCCCACGCCUCUUCUAUGUGACAACAAUGGAGCCAUACAUAUUGCCAAUGAUCCUGUCAAGCAUGAGCUUACAAAACAUAUUGGAGUUGAUGCUUUUUUUACUCGGUCUCAUUGUCAUAAGAAAACAAUUGAUCUUCAGUAUGUGCCCUGAGCUACAAGUGGCAGAUUUCUUUACUAAGUCUCAGACUCGAGAGCAGCAUCGUUUUCAUUUGCUCAAACUCAAUGCUUCAAAUCCACCUUUUCCACCUUGAGUUUGAAGGGGGGUGUUAAGGCCCAUAUACUAUAGGCUCAUAGCCCAUAUGUUCUCUAUAUAUAUAUAUGUCUCCACUAUUAGCAUCUCCAUCAUUCUGAAUUCCAAGGUUAUUAACAGCAGCAAGCCGAUCAGGCUGAGACCGGCUAGUCAGACCGGUUCUUCCAAGCGGUCUGACCGGUCGGGGUCUCUGUAGCCGAUUCGGCAUGCACCCGCCGGUCUGACUGGUGGUCCUGACCCGGUCACCCCGAGUCCAAGAUGAAUUUAGGAGUCCUGGUCAAAUUGGAGUUAAAAACCGGACUUCCUUGCAGGAAAAGACCUCCCACCAUAUAAAUAUAAAGGAUCCUGCCGAUUGAGGGCUAUCACCCAAUCGCCAAACACAUAUAUUUACCUUUUAUCUUCAAACCCUAGCUUUUCCAACCCCCUUGCUUUCCUCCUUCGUCUCGAUGGCGUUUGAGGAUGUUCUGAGUGGCCUGACCAAUCUCAGAGCAAUCCUAAGCUCGCCAUCUCCGACAGGGUCCCUCCUGAGGUGGUGAACGUAGGCUUUUGUGGAGCCUCUGCGAGGACCGGUCUGAUUGGACCCCUAACCGGUCUGACUGGCUAGGUGCAAAAGCCCCGACGAGGUGACAUCCUGAUCUACCCCGGAAUUAGCGUAUUCGUGUGUUGACCGGAAAAGGCGUCAACAACCCUAAUAUGCAGAAAACUUCCAAUCCAGAUCAAGAAAAUGGAAAUGACAUAGUCGAGAGUUCCAGACAAAAUAGCUUCAACGAAAAAAGAAAUAGCAGAACCCAGACAGCAAAGAAACUGUAGAACGAACAUGGCAGAGGCAGGCUUCUAAACUCCCUCAUGCCUGAAUUUUUCAGAGAUCUUCUGACAUUUCCCGAUGACCGAUGGCCGGACCCUGCUACUCCGCAUCCCCGCAGCUGUGCGAAGGCCCUCUGCUCCACGGACGAGACGAAACAGUGUUGGCUGCGGACUCGAUGACAGGCGAGCGGCGGCGGCACGCCAGUGCAAUAAACAAGCCCCGACAGGGCUACUUUUUUGUAUUUUGGCCCUUUUCGCGAAAAAAUCUCACAAAUAGGCCCCUGGCGAAACCAAUUCCGAAAAUGGACCCUCAGCUUGGCGCCAGCCAGCCUGGCACCAAGGUAUAACGUCUUGGCGCUAGCACGGCUGGCGCCAAGGUCCCUCCGCCACGCCUCCACCGUGGCGCCGACCCGCUGACGUGGCGUGGAGGCUUGGCGCCAAGAUCCACGGCGCCAAGCCUCGGCGCCAAGAUCUGUGGCGCCAAGGCUCGGCGCCACCGUCGUUGGCGCCAAGCCUUGGCGCCAUAGAUCUUGGCGCCGAGGCUCGGCGCCAGCCUCCCUGGCGCCAAGCCUUCAACCAUAUAUACCGCCUCUUCUUCCUGCCCGAGAGUUCCUCCUCAUUAUUCUCCACUCUCUCGGGUUUUCACUCUCCCUACUUUGCCCUAGACUACGAAUCGACAUUGUAGCUUAGGAAACUUUCAUUUGAUCCGUGGAUCCUGAAGAGCAAGGUAUCCUCUCUCCGUCGUACCUUUUUUUCACAUCGAUUCGCUAUAUAUUUCUUGCAUUUUUGAACUUAGGGUUUCAUGCAAAUGUAGGAUGCCGAGGCGUGGAAAAGCUAAGAAACUAAGGUAAUCUCAACGCCCGUAGUUAUGUUAUAUACUCAUUGUUGUGGAUCAAAUGAAAAAACCUUAAUUGUAGGUUUAUUCUUAAGUGCGUUUGAUUCAUAGAACGAAAUAAACAAAAUUGUAGUUAUGGCGCAAAGAAGACCGGAAAUGUGUUCGAUCCAUUGCCUCUGCCUAGUGGUGUUCCAGUGCCGAUGUGCUUUUGCGGUGAUCCUUGCAAGGUAGCCAAGUCCGAAGAACAUGCCACGUAUAGGCAGAGGUAUUGGAUGUGUUCCAACUUUGCGUUUGAACCUACACUUCGUCAGCGCCGCAUUAACAUGUUGGUAAGGAAAUGUUGUUGUCUUAUAAUUAUUGUCCAUAAUUUUUUUUUAUAACAAUUGCAUUUGUUGUAGACCCCUCCACCGCUGUGUGAUUUUGAGCAGUGGAUCGACACUGAGAUCAAUCCUGAAGACAAGGAGUUUUUGGAGUAUAUGAUGCGCUGGGAUGCAGAGAGGAAGGAGGUGUACGAGAAGAGGCUCAUAGAGGAGGCUGCGGAAAAGGAGCACAAGGAAGAGGAGGAAAGGAGGCGGGUUGCUGCGAACAGGGAGGAGAGAGAGAAGAAGCUUGAGCGGGCACGCCGAGCGAAAGCAGCGGUUGAGGAGAAUCCCGAUGCCUUAAGGAAGGGAAAGUGGCCUCGUUGCACUCAGUAGCCAUAUUUAGGUUCUAGUUCUAUGGUCUAUUUAUGAACAAUAUUUUCUACUGUGAGACUUUUAUUAUGUUGUCAUGUAAUAAUGCACUUUAAGUAUGGACACGCAAUUUGUAGACGACAUAUGUUCAUUUUGCGAUGUAAUGCAUUUCGAAGUCGUAGUCUACUGAAAUAUCCGUAGAAAAUAAAAUGGUACUUGUUAGCGAAAUUUCGACAGAAUUUCCCCUACUUGUUGAUGCAAUCCAUAAAAAAUUACGAGAUGAAUAGUGAAUAUAAAUACAAGCAUAGAAGCAUAUGACACAAGCAUAUGACACAUUCAGAAUAGAAUCCACAAUAGUUCAGAAUGAAAGUCCAUAUAUAUACAAAUAGUCCAUAUGAUACAAAGUUCGCAAUCAGAAUCGUCACUGCCUCCUAGUCUUACCCUUACCCUUGUGACCAAGGGCGUCGGUGCCUGGAGUGUAAGGAGAACGUGGACGACGUAGUCUAGUGCCCCCUACAACCUGUGUAGGCUGAGUCAAUGGAGCCUCCUGGAGCUGAGACGGGCCAAUCUCCUCGGCCCUCUGCUCAUCGUCGUCGUCAUCGUCGUCGUCGUCAACUUCCUCGGAUGCAAUUGAUUUCGAACCUGAGGGGCCUUGGCUGGACGUACCGACGCCUCCUUCGCGCAGGGAUGGAACGUGCACGUCUCGCGUCGUGGCAGUCCUGCAACCACAACAAGCAGCGGCACGGCAAAGCCGAUUUGACAAUCGCUGCAGUAGUAAAAACAAGUUACACAAAUGAAGAAUGUAACGUAUUAAUAAAGUAUUAGAAAGAAUAAUUUGAGACUUACCUCUAGGAAGCUCCCAAUCUCGGGGUCCCUAACUCGUGGACGGAUAUGCUUUAUAUCUCUAACCGAGCUUUGUAGGGUACGCCCCUGCAACAAAUGACUAAGUCACUAAAGCAAUAAAUGACUAAGUCACUAAAUGACUAAAUGAUUAAGUCAGAUGAUCACUAAGUCCUUAUCUAACUAACUAAAUCUCUAAGUAACUUAACAUAGAACAUAGAAAAGUGAAGCAAUUGUCUUACCAUCCUAUCCAGGAUUGGUCCUGCCUCCACCUACCUUCCCGCACGAGUACUCUGAUCGUACACCGUGUCUUCAUCGUCGGAUGAGUGGAUAUCGGCGUAGUCAUCUUCCGUCCACGCUGCCCUCAACCUGUGCCGCGUUGCACCUUGGUACCAGCUCUGAUAUUGCCUGUACACACUGUUUGUGUGCGGCUCGUUGUUCUCAUCCACGUUCUCCUCAAACUGGUCCCAUUCCUGAAUGUACGCGUGGUGGAACGCGGCCACUCAGAGACCUUCCGUUUCUUCUUUCGAUCCACGCUGCACGUCACGUUACACGUUACUGUUAGCCAAAAUUUAGUUAAUAGUAUUGAAAUAUAUGAAAUAGGAAAAGACUUACUUGUGUAACUCCAUACUAGUCGAGGUCGCCUGUGGUGGCCAAAUCUGCCUCAUCCCAAAUUGACAUGCUACUCGAUGUGGCAGGUGGUACUCGACAGCAUAGAAGCAAAUAAGAGGGCACACCAUCCUAUAAAUAUCAUCGUCCGUCGCACACAUGAAGCUAAGGGGAAAAGGAAGUGGAUCGUCUCCGUCGUAAGGCUGCCAAUUUACCUGCAAAAUUUGAAUCAAAAACGUUAGUUGUUAUACUAAAAGAUUACAAAGCAUGUUAAAAAAAAAUUCACUUACACUAUGAGCAGUGAGCGCGUCUAUCUCGUUGAUGUAAUCCAGGUACGCGCGGUCCAACCUCGUAUGGCUAACCUUAACCUGAUCCCAAAUAUAUGCCUAUGUCGGCUGUCGUCUCGGCGGCUCACCUGGGAACCACGGUCGACGCGGCAUAAUCUCGGGCCGACCAACAGGAAUACGGGACCACAUCCAUAAUUGCAACAGGUAGACACACCCACCAACUGACGGGGAGCCCGAAGUCCGACGGCACGCCUCGCACAGCUGCCGGUAUAGGAAGCACAACACAGCUGAUUUAGGGGCAGAUUCAGCAUCGGGAAUAGUAGGUGCAACAUCCACGUCCAUAACAGGUUCUGGGACGGGAGGAUCGAAAUGUGCCCGUUGACCCAUUGGUCGGGAAAACCGACGAGGAUUUCGAUCAACUCCCACCGGACGAACAACCACUUCAACACUUGGGGAAUGACCAUUCAUAACCGUCCUCACAUAUUUCUCCCACUAACCUGCACACCGAAUUGGGACCAUCUUCCUUUGAAUGUUGAGAGGGGAACCUAGGUGAAGUAUGCCCUCGACUGUGAUUUCAUCAUUUUCAUGACAAUGUAACUCCUCCCGAGCCCUUGCAACCAACUCAUUAAACGAUGGUUUCUCAUCGAAUAUGACAACCUCGCACUGCAUGCCAACAAACUUAACAUAUCCAUAUUCAUCCCUUUCCACAGUGCCUCCGUAAUAUAUGCUCACUACAUUCUCCAUCUAGUAUAUCAAUAUAAUGACGCACAAUUCAUUUAGUCCAUAAUAAAUGAAACAUUCUAACUACAACAUCUCCAGUACGAAAUGAGAUAUUAUCAAUUGCCUACUAACUACCAAAUUCAUCUAACUAACUAUGUCAGACAAGCAACUUACUAUGCAACCUAAUAGUUAGUUAGGUACGUACCUAUACAACUGCUUAACUAAAUAACUAGUUUACUAUGUAACUAACUGUACAUCUAACUACGUAAAGAAAAUUGGACAUGCAUCUAGUUAAAUAGUGUCAUGAGUAUCCUCUAAUCUUUCUAUCGUUACAAUUCAUAAAGAUUAAUUUUCAUAUCUAACAAAUCUAUCUACCUAUUCUAAUUUACGUAUCUAACUAUUUCAUCUACCAAUUCUACCUACCUAUCUAAAUUCUACCUAACAAUAUAAUUCUAAUUCAUCUAUCUAACUAUUUUAUCUAGUUAACUAUAACUCUUCUUAGAGUUUUACCUCUCACUGGUGAACACUGGCGGCAAGGCGUGGAGGCGGGCACCGAGCGGGGGUCAGACGACCUCCGGUCGUGGAUAACGCGGGCGACGGGCCGUAGGCCACCGGCAGGGGCAGCCGCGGGCAAUGACGGGAGCGGCGCAACCUUGAGACCCCGAGCGGGGGGCGUCGGGCCGGCUGGCUCCGGGCGCCGGCGGCCGCGGGCAAGGUCCCACCGGACCGGGGGGGGGGGCGCGGCCGCGGGGGUCCGCGCGGGGGGCGCCGGCCGGGGCGGCUCCGGCCGUCGAGCGGCCUUCGGCCGGCAGCGGGGAGCUUCGGGCCGGCCGGGCGCGGACGCGGGGAGCUUCGGGCGGAUGGGCGCCAGCCGACGGGGCACGCGCCUUCGGGCGGCCUUGGCGUUGGGCGGGGGCGGGUGGGCGGGCGCCGGGCAGGGGCGGCCGGCCUCCGAGUGGCGGCGGCGGCGGACUCCGAGCGGCGGCGGCGGCGGGGAGCUUCGGGCGGACGGGCGCCGGCCGAUGGGGCACGCGCCUUCGGGCGGCCGGGCGGGCGCCGGGCGGGGGCGGCCGACCUCUGGGCGGCGGCGGCGGCGGCGGACUCCGAGCGGCGGCGGCGGGGAGCUUCAGGCGGACGGGCGCCGGCCGACGGGGCACGCGCCUUCGGGCGGCCGGGCGGGCGCCGAGCGGGGGCGGCCGGCCUCUGGGCGGCGGCGGCGGACUCCGAGCGGCGGCGGCGGCGGACUCCGAGGCGACGGCGGCGGUUUUCCUCGGGCGGCGGCGGCGCGAUUCGAAACAAUGCAAACGGACGUGCAAAAGGAAAGGGAUCCCGGUAUAGUGUUAAGAGGCUUGGCGCCAGGGAGGCUGGCGUCGAGCCUCGGCGCCAAGAUCUACGGCGCCAAGGCUUGGCGCCAGCGACGGUGGCGCCGAGGCUUGGCGCCACAGAUCUUGGCGCCAAGCCUCGGCGCCACGUCAGCGGGCCGGCGCCACGGUGGAGGCGCGGCGGAGGGACCUUGGCGCCAGCCGUGCUGGCGCCAAGACGUUAUACCUUGGCGCCAGGCUGGCGCCAAGCUGAGGGUCCAUUUUCGGAAUUGGUUUCGCCAGGGGCCUAUUUGUGAGAUUUUUUCACGAAAAGGGCUAAAAUACAAAAAAGUCGGCCCGACAGGCUAGAAAAAUUGUGCGCACGGACGGAUCAGCAUUUCUUCCCUCAACCUCCACCAUUGGGAGCGCGAUCCUUCUUCAGAAAUGAAAUUUGGCUCUCGCGACCGUGGGUUUUGGGUGUGCAGAAUUCUGGCACCGUGAUCGGGCCGCUGUUGGAAAAAGAGUUUUUGGAUCAGUUUCCAAAACUAUUUUAAAACUUAUUUUGGACGUUAGAGCAUCUCCAAGAGUGACAAAAAAAAUAGAAGUCCAAAAAACUGAUUUUUGGACUUUGACAAAAAUUAUUGGGAGGGAAAAAGACUUUCUUACCCAACAGUUUCCAAAAAAGUUUGGUUCAAAAAAAUUAAAGUGUUGCUAUGUCAUCAAUUCAUGGGUCCGGGCCUGCAGCUCUUGGUUUUUUUCCACGUGAAAAACUACAGAGCCUCGUCUCUUCUCCACGUUAUCCUCUCUUGUCACAACCUUUGUUUUCUUUUUCUCGAUUGCCGCCUGAUAAACGGAUGGAGCAAUUCAAAAUCCAACGUAGGCGCUGUCCUCAACUCCAAGUACAGAGACGCCGUCCUCGACUCGUUGAUCGGAGCCGGUGCCCUCAGCCGGAUGCGGCAAGCAUGUGGUGUUCGCAAGGCGCAGCACGCAACGAGGAGGGAGAAAACAUUGCGCACACGACGAAAUACACGAAGGAGGCGAAAAAACUGGCGGGCGAUCCGCGAUUGGGAGCGCUCAGGAGCGGCCAAAAUUUUCGGAUUACCGCACACUUGACCGGUCGACUUGUGAUUAGCGGUUGCUGCACGUUCCACGAGAAAACGAAAUGGGAUUUUCAGAGGAGGAACGUCCACUGAAAAUUCCAUCCGCUCCGCAAAUAUCAACUCUCACCGUCUCACGUGCAAAUACUAGUACAGUACAUUCUAGUGACCGUAUUGCUUUCGUCCUGCUAUCUUGCUCGUAGGAAAUACUGUCCCGUACUAGACUCAGUCCCCGUGAUUGCUGCAGGACUGACUUGUGAGGUUUUUUGAUUGAUGAUGACGGGUAAUUUACAUGGACCAUAUACGCCGGGUGGUAUUCAGUCCCUUUUACCCCUGCUAGCUGUAAGGAUUGUGAUAUGCGUAGCGUAGAGACACUUCCUUUUUAUUUAUUUUGAGUUGGAUUUUCUCGAUCACAUCGCAGUCGAUGCUAACUCGUGAGAAGACUAGACAGACCAUGUAGGUGAUGUAGUCAGUCCACGGUUGAUAUAUGCGGUCAACACACGAAUGCGCUGGUUCACCCGUACAUCAAAGACCGGUUAGGCAGGUUGGGUUAGGCAGGUCGGUCAGACCAGUCUGUCGCAUAGACACCGUGAAAAUCUAGAAACACCACCUCGGGAGGGACCCCGUCGGAGAUGAUGUGCCUAAGGUUGCUUUGAGAUUGGUCGGACCACUCAGAACUUCCUCAACCGCCGUCGAGACGAAGGAGGAAAGCAAGGGGGUUGGAAAAGUUAGGGUUUAGAGAUAAAACGUAAAAAGAUUUGUUUGACGAUUGGGUGUUAGCACUCAAUCGGACAGGGCCCUCUAUAUUUAUAGGGUGGGAGGUUUUUUUUCCCGCAAGGAAAUCCCAUUUUAACUCCAAUUCGACCAGGACUCCAAAUUUCGCUUCGGACUCGAGCAGACCGGUGUGACCGACCGGUCAGACCGGUUUGCUUGCCAGAUUGGCUUUUGAGCCUGAUCGGCGGCGCUGCCACCUUUGGGCAUCAACACAUGCCCCCCUAUUUCUUGGUAAAGCUUGUGUACCAAGAAAUAAACUUAAGGAAGAUGGAUUCCACCAGCCAUUUGUCCUAAGGGCGAUAUUUCAACAUAUUGGCCAUACCGCUUCUAUGUGUCUUGCCAAACACUUAGAUGGUACUUCUUCAAAUAUUUCCCGUUCAAUGCUCUAGGUAGCUGAAAUCCACUUAAAGUUUCCACCAUAUAAGAAUUACCACGGAGCACACUUGUAACCUUGUAUGGCCCCUCGAACUUGGAGAUCAUUUCCCAAAUUCAUUGCUCUUAGCUCCUAUAGGUAGAAUCAUUUUCCACACCAAAUCUCCUACCUAAAAUACUUUAUCUUUAACUUUCUUGUUGUAUGCUUUAGCCACUCGGAUUUUAACCCUCUCGAUCUUAACCAAAACCUCCACCCGCUUGUCGGUCACUUCAUCAAUAUUAUCCAUCAUCAAGGCGUAAUAGGUAUCAAAGUCGAGAUCAUUUUGCUUAGCCAACCUAUACGCACCCAAAUUUACCUCAAUGGGCAAAACAGCUUCUUGAUCAUAGACAAGCUCAAAAGGAGUAACCUUAGUUGUGCCGUGUCUAGAAAUACGAUGAGCCCAUAAAGUUUCAGAUAAUACUUCGUGCCAUCUUUUAGGAUUGUCUUCUAUCUUCUUCUUAACGAGCUUAAUUAAUAUCUUGUUGCUAGGCUCAGCUUGACCAUUGGCUUGAGCAUAAUAAGGAGAUGAAUUGAGCAGCUUAAUACCAUAAGAUUCCAUGAACUCACGCACCUCUUUAUAUAUGAAUGAAGUCCCUUGAUUCGUAGUCAAAGUUUGUGGAAUACCAAAUCUGUGUAUAAUAUGCUCCUUGACAAACCCAAUAACCUCUCGAUGUGUCAUAUUUUUUAGGGGAAUUGCUUUGGUCCACUUGGUAAAAUAAUCAGUAGCCACAAUCACAAAGCAAUGUCCUUUUGAUGAAGAAGGAUGAAUUUUACCAACAAAAUCCAAUCCCUAUCCUCUAAAUGGCCACGACUUUAUGAUUGAAUGCAUUGAUGAAGCAGGCACCAACUGAACAUCCCUAAACUUCUGACACUCUUCACAACCUUUGAAAUAACGAAAACAAUCGGCUAUCAUAUUAGGCCAAUAAAAGCAAGCUCGCUUGAGGAGCCACUUCAUCACACGAGUCGAUUGAUGCGUACCACAAACUUCUUCAUGCACCUUUGCCAUUGCCAAUCUGGCCUAAUCAGAAUCUAAGAAUUUUAGAAGCAACCCAUCAAUCGUCCGACGAUACAAGUCACCUUCUAUCAAAGUGAACUUAAUUGCCCAUCGUCGGACUUUUCUAUCAACUGAGCACUUAGGAUUCUGUAAAUAAGUAAUCAGAGGUACUCUCCAAUCAUCCACUUCGUCCUUAGCAUUUUUUGGGUGAUCCACGGCCGAAGUAGAAUUUUCCUCAGACAGACCGGUCAGACUGGUUGGCUGGGCGGUCAGACCGGUUGGACCGGUCAUACCGGUUUCAGAGGCCGGUCGAACCAGUUCCUCCAGGGUGUGACACUCGACUUCACAAAGCAUCAGCUUUCUUUCAUGAAAGUUCCUUUUCCAUAUGUUAUAGCCAGACGCUUGCUGUGCUAGAACAUUAGCCCUCUGAUUCUCUUCCCUUGGUACAUGAUAAAUAGCAAAUUCAUCCAUACAAGAUAUGAUGUUUAGGCACUUAUCAAGGUAAGCAUUUAGAAAUCCAUCCAAACACUGGCAUACCUUGGAUAUUUAUUGUACCAUCAGUAAGGAAUCACCAUAAGCCUUCACAUGUUUCACACCCAUCUCUUGUAAAAUUUCAAACCGAAUAACAAAGCUUUAUAUUCAGUUUAAUUAUUGGUACACUUGUGAUCCAAUCGUAAGAAACUCAAAAACAGCCCCGUUAGGCGAAAUCAGCACCACACCAACACCACAGCCGCUUUUGCACACCUAUCCAUCAAAGUGCAACUUCCACGGGGUACAAGUGAUAUAACUGACAUCUAAAUCAAGUUGCUCAUCAAUUCUAUGCUCAACGAUAAAAUCAGCUACGACUUGACCCUUCAUUGAUUUCAACGAUUCACAAACCAAAUCAUAUUCAAUGAGAGCAUACGCCCACUUGCCGAUUCUACCACUCAAAAUAGGUUUUUGCAACAUAUAUUUAAUUAUGUUGGUUUGACAAGCCACCAUGCAAGUAUUUGAUAAUAAAUAAUGCCUUAACUUGGUGCAAGCAUGAUAUAGUGAUAAACACAAUUUCUCAAUAAAGGUAUACCUUGUCUCGACGUCCAAUAACCUUUUACUUACAUAGGUAACGACGUGCUCCGUUCCUUCGGUUUCUUGAGUCAAAACAGCCCCAAUGACACCUUCUUCGGUAGCUAUAUAUAAUUUAAAAGGAAUACCAUGUUUCGGUGCCUGAAGAACGGGUGGUGAGGACAAAUAAUCCUUAAUUUCCUCAAAUGCUUCUUGUUGUUUUGCCCCCCAAGUAAAAUCAGCUUCAUCUUUCAACCGAAGUAAAGGAGUAAACGCAUUCACCUUCCCGGACAAAUUGCAAAUAAAUCUCCUCAAGUAAUUCACCUUGCCCAAGAAUUUCUGCAACUCUUUUUUGCAGGUUGGAGCUUGUAGUUUUCUGAUAGACUCAAUCUUUUUAGGAUCAAUUUCAAUGCCUUUCUCAUGCACCACAAAGCUCAAGAAUUUCCCAGUCGAUACACCAAAAGCACAUUUGAGCGGAUUCAUCUUUAGACCAUACCGGCGCAUCUUUUCCAAUGCAAGUCUCAAAUCAGCCAAGUGGGACUCAAAUCCGACCGAUUUCACAACGAUGUCAUCAAUAUAUACUUCCAGUACCACUCCAAGUAAAUCAUGAAAAAUCAAAUUCAUAGCCCUUUGACAAGUAGCACCAGCAUCCUUUAAUCCAAACAUCAUAACGACCCACUUAAAUAAACCAACAAAUCCUGGACACACAAAAGCCGUUUUGGAUAUAUCCUCUUUGGCCAUAAAGAUUUGAUUGUAUCCAGCAUUGCCAUCAAGAAAGCUAAUCAUUCUAUGACCAGAUACAGCAUUACUAAGUACAUCGGCUAUAGGCAUAGAAUAUUCAUCCUUAGGUGAAGCUUUAUUGAGAUCCCUAAAAUCAAUGCAUACACAGAGCUUGCCCGUACCCUUCUUUUCAACAGGCACAAUAUUAGAAACCCAAUUAGCAUAUCGACAAGGCCUAAUAAACUUAGCAUCAAGUAACCGAUUAAUUUCUUUUUUCAUUUGGUCAUAAAUAAUAGGAUUGAAAUGCCUAGCAAGUUGUUUAUGAGGCCUAAAACCAGAUUUGAUAGGCAGCCAAUGCUCAACUAGCUUGCAGCUUAAACCAGGCAUUUUAGUAUAAUUCCAUGCAAAACAGUUGGCAUACUCUUUCAACAAUUUUAUUAAAUCGGCCUUAAAAGUAGGCUCAAGAUUUUUGUUUACAAAUGUCGGCUUUGGUACAACACCAUCACCAAUAUCCACUUUCUCUAAAGGAUCGGCCGACAUAAACCCUUGUCCUAACUUACUCAUAUUAUCAAGAUCCUCAAUGGCCUCACACAUAUCGUUCUUUUGCGCCCGAUAGUGUUCUAGCCUCUACUGCAGCCAUUCCAGAUUUACAUCCAUUAUAUCAUAUGCGAUAGGCUAGCCGAUCGUCAAUCGGCUUCAACAUAGCAGCGACAAAGCCAUCCUUUGUACAACUAAUGUACUCACAAUCACAAAGAUCCACACCAGACAAGCCCUUAACAUUAUCAUGAGCAUUCAUGGUAGAACUAUUGGCCACAGCAACACAAGCCGACGUAUCACCAUGCACAAUCUCCACUUCAUCACCAACCCACUGGAUCAAACAUUGAUGCAGUGUAGAAGGAACACACUAAUUUGUAUGAAUCCAAUCACGACCCAAAAUUAAGCUAAAGUUACCUUGGGUCUCGGCGACGAAGAAAGCAGUAGCCAAUGUCUUGCUCCCUACGGUGAGCUCCAUAGAGACGAUGCCUUUAGCUCCUAUAGGCUCACCUCCUCCCACACCGCUGAUGGUCAUGUUGGUCUUGAUCAGUUCCUCAUCUAAACCUCCCAAUUUCUUGAACAAAGAAUAGGGCAUUAAAUUGACAAUUGCCCCUCCAUCAACCAACAUCCGAGAAAUUGCCUUCCCAUUAUUGUGUCCUCGCAUGUACAGCGCCUUCAGAUGAUUCUCAGUGACCUUAGGCUUCUGGAACACAGCCUCCUUAGGCCCAAAGUCAAGGUGAGCCAAAUCCUCCUCCGAGAGUACAUAGCCGUCCAUCGACAUAUGAAUCACAUUUAUGUCCGGCGUCAUUCCCACAAGCGAAGAACUGUAAUCAACAAGUUGUUCAUCAUCCUUUGAGUCAUGGACUAAUGUCGACUCGUCAUCACAAGCCCUGGGGUCAGAAAGAGCGAAACUGAGCGAUGUCUCUGAUGAGACCAGCCUGACCGGUUCCUGGACCGGUCUGACUAGUAUAGGCGCUAGUCCGGAGCCUCGACCGGUCUGACCGAUGGAGCUGGGGUGUCGUCUUUUGCUCUCCACUCUUUCUUCUACGGUGCUAUGGGUCUGUAUUUGUUAAACGUCUCAUCCCUCUAUUUUUCUAGCUCCUGUUCCCUUUUCUCUUGCAACCUUAACCUCUGCAAUUUCCUCCUUUGUGUGCGAGUCAACCUGAGAGGACACCAUCUUGGCAAGAAGUACUUGGAGCUUGACCCACUGCUGCUGGCCUCAUGAUCAUUAGCAGUGGGCACUUUCUGAAUAGAGAAUUUGACUAGAUUGUUUGUACCAAUCGGUCCUUCCGUACCAACUUCGACUAGAAUUUUCAUAGACCCAAUCUGGACCGUAGCUUCCUCUCUGUUCUUCCCUGAGUCCACUUCCAUUUUCUGAAUCUCUUCCUCCCUCUGUUUAGGAUGAUACACUUGCUUUGGAGGGAGGACUCGGUGCACCUAGGCAGACCGGUCUGACCAGUCAAGGUGGGCCGGUCUGACCGGUCGGGUCUGAUGACCCUAGCCAGAUGGGCGGGGCAUCCAUCGGCCUUGCACGGGGCACAAGAUCCUGUCCGAAACUGAAUUUUUAGAGCCUCCCCAUCCAAGAUGGAAAGACGGCUACUGCAUGGAUUGAUAAUGCACCCACAUCACACCAUUGUCAUCCCAUAUUGGUCGCGGAGGACUUGACACCGGAGGGGCCCAAGAUGUGGAGAGGUACUACCUUGAUUUCACCUGGUCACCUCUCUAUCUAACAACUGCUCUUGGUAGCGAACCUUGUCUUUCUUGGUGAGUAGGUGACCUCGUUCUCUUUUUUACCGGUAGAUCACUUGUAACGGCCUUUUCUUUGAUAUACUUGUCCAGGAGCAUAUCAAAAGUAACUUUCUCCCUGGGGCUGCUCCCCUAAUCCUUUGCCACGUUAAGCUUCCAAGUCCCAAUCUCUAGACGCUUAGGUUUCAACAUUCGAAGACGGCUCUACGUCAGACCGGUCUGACCGGCCCCUUGAACCAGUCUGACCGGUCCAGCCUGAUCAGUAGGCUCAGGCGGCCUUUGACCAAAUUCCGAGUGCGACGCCUGCCCCCCAUGUCCAGAGGCUUGCACAGUAAUUUUGAAUGAUUCCUUGCCACCUGGGGUCUUUUCAUAGACCACUUCCCUUGUCAACUCUUUGCCUCUCAAAUCGGGUUUCUCCUCCUUAUCACCACAUUUUUACCCUUAGUCACUUCAGCUUGAUGUGGCCGAACCAACACCAUGGGCUGCUGGAUAUCCAUCGUGUUGACAAGGAACAGUGUCUUGUCCACUUGCAUUUCAUGGAAAGUCAAUCAGCCUUCGUUUAUAGCUGAUUGAACCUAUCGACAAAACACAUUGCAAUCGUUAGUAGCAUGGAAAAAACUGUUGUGAAAGUUGCAAUAUGCUUUCAUUUUCAAUUCUUCAAGCGGAGGCAUGGUAUGAGUUAUUUUCAAAUGUCCAAGUUUAAGCAAUUCAUCAAAAAUACGGUCGCACUUGGAGACAUCGAAAGUAAACUUUACUUCUUCCUUCCAACUCUUUUGAGCUGGCUUGAGAGAUGCACAGGAGUAAGAUUUAGCUUUAGAAGGCCACACGAAUUCAGUAAUGUAAAUUUCAUUUUCAUCAUCGUUCGAACUAUCAGAAUCAUACUCGAUGGCAUGCAUAUUAGACUGACGAGACUUGAAGCUAUCCUUUUCUUUAGCAAUUCUAAGUUCCUUUGUCGAAGCCUUCAUAAGUACUUGUGCAAUGGUAUGAAGCUCAAAACCUUCUAGCCGAUCUCUAAUAGAGGAUUUCAAACCCUUUAGCCCGAGGUUGGCCAAAUCACUAUUGGUAAGUGAUAAAUUAAAACAUCGGGUUUUUGUUUCUUUAAAUCAUCUUAUGUAAUCAAAGACAGAUUCUUCUUUACCUUGCCUAACCGAUGUUAAAUCUGUUAACUUUAAUUGGAAGUUCCCGGUGUAAAAGUGAUCUUAAAAUUUUUGCUCUAAUUGUUCCCACGAAUCAAUAGAGCCGGGAGCUAAGAAUGAGUACCAAGCGAAAGCGGUUCCUGUUAAUGACAAAGAAAAUAAGAGAACUCGUAAAGCAUUGUAAUACCCCGCUUCGCCUUGUUGAGUCAUAUAUUGACUAAUAUGCUCCCAAGUGGUUUGGUUAUCUUCACCACUGAAUUUAACAAAGUCGGGCAUGCGCCAACCGACUGGGUAGGGAACAUAAUCAAAAUCAGCUUGAUACGGCUAUUGAUAUAAUUUCAAAUUUCCAGUAUCUACGCUAUAUUUACUUUGCAUUAAAGCUAGUACCUCCUCUCUGAAUUUUCUAAUCUCGCGAAGGGAGGGUAUCUCUAAAUGCUCUUGGGCUGAUGUAUUCACGGUGCUCGCAUGGGGUGGGUUGCCAUUCUGAAUGCGGUGCAAAUCAGAAACCACAUCCCUUGAAAUCCCUCUAGAUGCAACAAUGUUGUUGGGGAUUGGGGGUAACGUGUACGCUAUCGUGUUAAACGAGGAUGGAUUAAUACCAAACUCGCCAACACGGUUAGGAACGACCGAGCUAGGCACGACAGCAAGCGGCACUAGCAUUUCGGGGACGACGGUCAGCUGGCCGGCCUGAAAGGUCUGACCGGUCGUCUGGACCGGUCUGACCGCUCCAGCCAUGCUCAGCUGUUGCGGCGUUUGUCCCGAAUAGAAGUUCAACGGCAUGCCGUAUGCAGGAUUCUCAGGGAUGGCUCCCAUAUUUGCUGAUGAAGUAGUUUGUGCAGCCCCACGUGAGUCAACUUGUGAAAAAUCAUUUUUAUUAUAAGAAACGGAUUUAUUCUCUACAAGUUGAUCUAUCCGAGCCAUUAAUGUAUUAGUGAUCCUAUUGUGAUCAGCAAGACUUUUACGGAGCUCAUCAUUAACGGCGGCUUGGUCGGAGGGGAGGUUACUUACAUUGCACACUUCCUCGACCAUGCUGUCCUUCAUCUUAAUCACGGGCGACUCGAAGUCUUGUGUUCUCGUCACCUUGCCCUUGCGAUCCUUCUUGACGCCCAUGAGAUAUUGCAUCUUGAUAUAUUCCUGGAGCGUCGCAAGAUUCCACUGCUCCUCCUCGCUGAGAUCCUCCACGGAGGCCGUGAUGAUGUUAUCUUUGUCGAGGUCCGUAGUAGAUCCCAUCUUGCUAAGGCUUUCUGGAACGGUUACAAAACCAGAUCUUUGUCCCCAGCGGAGUCGCCAAAAUGUGUUGACGCCUUUUUCGGUCAACACACGAAUGCGCUGGUUCGCACGUACACCAAAGAUCACCUCGCCGGAGCCUCUACCCCUGGCCGGUCAAACCGGUCUGUCGCAGGGACGCCACAAAAAUCUAGAAACACCACCUCGGGAGGGACCCCGUGGGAGAUGAUGCACCUAAGGUUGCUCUGAGAUCGGUCAGGCCACUCAGAGCUUCCUCAACUGCCGUCGAGACGAAGGAGGAAAGCAAGGGGGUUGGAAAAGCUAGGGUUUAGAGAUAAAAGGUAAAAAGAUUUGUUUGAUGAUUGGGUCUUAGCCUUCAAUCGGCCAGGACCCUCUAUAUUUAUAGGGUGGAAGGUUUUUUCCUGCAAGGAAAUCCCGUUUUAACUCCAAUUCGACCAGGACUCCUAAUUUCGCUUCGAACUUGGGCAGACCGGUCUGACCGGUCAGGGCAACCGGUCAGACCGGUUUGCCUACCAGAUCGGCUUUUGAGCCUGAUCGGCGGCGCUGCCACUUUUGAGCGUCAACAAUAUGUUAGCAUCAAGUUUACCAGUAGGUGAGGUUAUAGUUAAUCAGAACGUUUAGCUUAGGAUGACAGGGAUAUCUUUAUUACUCCGGUCCCAUUGAUGAAGUGAGAAGAUAUCAGAUCGAAACACAUGGCCCGUCAGCAGUAAGCGUGGAGUCAACAACGCAGGUUAUUGGCGAGUCUUGUAUGUUUUUGGCCCCAGCGACGACCGUAACAUCUGAUGGGACUGCUGCCCCUGGAAUUCCAUGCUCACUUCCUCCUUGGAUUAACAGCACAAACCGCAGGCUCUACUGCUUCUGCAGUCUCAGGAUAACAAUAGUAUAUAUGGUGUAGACAGUGCACAUUGCCACAAGCUGCCUCUCAUUUUGUUACCCACCGAUCCCAACACCAGCCACAGAUACACAAACACACGAAGCUUACAGGUCACCCAUAUAUACAACGAUGUCCUCCGCCGGAGUUCUAGUUGGCAUGUGUGUUGUUCUCGCCUGCUUGGCCGCUGUUCCGCGAGCGCUGGCCGCGGUCGUCCAUGGACACGCUAGCAGCAACGGCAUCCUGCAUAUCCCUUCCAAUGUCUCCUUGGCUGGCUGCCCCACCCACUGCGGGGAUGUCGAAAUCUCCUAUCCCUUCGGGAUAGGCUCUGGUUGCUUCCGGCAAGGCUUCGAGCUCACCUGCAACCAGACAGCUCGUCCUCCUAGGCUCUUCUUCAGAAACAGUACCACUCAGAUCACUUCUAUAUACGUCGGCAGCAAUAUGGUUUAUGCUUCUCCUGUUGGUUUUAACGUCACCAUGGGGCAAGGUGUGGACACGUACAGCAAGUCCUGGGGUACCCCUGAUGGUGGCGCUGUUAUCAGUGAAAGUAACUUUGGUUUGUAUGUCGUUGGAUGCGGUCUCGAAGUCUACAUGUUCGGUAAUAACUGGACUGACCUCAUUGGUUCUUGCAUGAGCAUAUGCGCAGAUAACCGGACCAUGGAGAGGGCAAAUGUUUUCGGCUCCUGUAAUGAUGGGAUUGGCUGCUGCAACAUCUAUUUGACGAGGGACCUGCCAGCCUUUAUGGUUAAACUCGUCCGUCGCAACGGUACAAGAGCACAACUAAAUGAUGUCAAGGUUUUACUACCACAGUAUUAUAGAUUCGUUUUGGGUGAUCUUUACUCGAGUUGGGUAAACACAAGCAAUGUUGAUGAUACAAGAAUUCAGAUCGCCAUCACGGACCAACCAAAUUGUGAACGUGCCCGAGUGAACAAGGAUAGUUAUGCUUGUAAUAAUGAAAGCAACUGCCAAGAUCUACAAUAUGGACGAGGCUACAGUUGCUCAUGCCACAAUUAUUACGGGAAAGGCAACCCCUACAUCGUAAAUGGCUGCAUCCAAGGUCCAUACCUCGUUGCUUCUUGUUGUUUUCACGAUAUUUUAAAUAAUUCAGCAUAUAUGGUUCCAGAUUUACUACCUCGUUUGGUUGCCGUUGCCACGCCAAAUGUGCAGCUGCUAUAAAAAAAUAAGGUUAUUGUUUUGCUUGUGAUAAGCUGCGGCAUGUUACACAUUUUCUAGUUGCUAGCAACAUCUCACAGAACUUGUGAAACCAGAAGAAUCUUUUUCUUCUAAAGUAGCCUUAUUAAUUUCUUUAGAUUUAGUCUUACUUCCUCACCUUAUUUAUUUGUCAUGAAGCAGGUUACGAUUCAACGCCCAAAGAGAAGUGUACAAGAUCAUGUGGGAACAUUAGCAUUCCGUUCCCAUUUGGGAUUGAAGAAGGUUGUUAUGCAAAUGAUAACUUUCGACUCAACUGCACAAGUGAUGCCGGCACCGUUCUUGACCGUCGGUACGCACAAUAUCGUGUGACUCGUAUAUCACUUGAUGAUGGGGUUGUGGCUGUUAGCAACAUGCUGAAUGACACAAGCUCCAAUAACAUGGAAAGGAUAGUCAAUUCCAACUAUGAUGGUACCUCUUAUUAUGAGUUGAUUGUGGAUGGUAUUUAUGAUUUCUCACAGGAAGAUGAAACAGUAAUAAAGUGGGUUGUUGCAAACUUGACUUGUCAACAAGCUAAGCAAAGUAAUAUUGCUAAGUUCUAUGCGUGUAUCAGCCACAACAGUAACUGCCAAGAUGUCACGCGAGGGAAAACAAAUCAUGGGUAUAUCUGCAGGUGUAAUGAUGGCUUCCAUGGAAAUCCAUACCUGCAAAACAAUUGUACAGGUAUAUUUCUCUCCUAAACUAUAUUUGAACAGUAUCUCAUUUUUCAAAAUAUUAUAAAGAACCGCAAGUCCGCAAUAGUACACACAUGUUAUUCACAGUAAUUUAAAAUCCUGAUGCGUCCACUUGCACCACCAGCACCUCCACGACCACAUUUAAUGGUUGUAGGUAUUGCAAUUGGGGUUGCUUGCGGCCUUGGCUCCAUAACUGUUGCAUUGGGUGCAAUCGUACUCACCCGGGAGUGGAAGAAAGGCAUCCAAAGGAGAAUUCGAAGAGCAUACUUCAAGAAAAAUCAAGGUUUACUCUUGGAGCAGCUGAUCUCAAAUGAAAGCACUACAAACAAAACAAAGAUAUUCUCCUUGGAGGAAAUAGAGGAGGCGACCAACAACUUUGAUGCUAUUCGUGUUCUUGGUUGUGGAGGACAUGGCACAGUAUAUAAAGGAAUUCUAUCAGACCAGCGUGUUGUGGCUAUAAAAAAAUCUAAAGUAGUGGAGCAAACGGAGAUAGACCAGUUUAUCAAUGAGGUUGCUAUUUUGUCUCAAAUCAUACACCGCAAUGUGGUGAAACUUUUUGGUUGUUGCCUAGAGGAUGAGGUGCCAUUGCUAGUCUAUGAAUUCAUAUCAAAUGGCACACUAUAUGACCUUCUUCACACAGAUAUUACAACAAAAUGCUUGUUAUCAUGGAUUGAUCGUAUAAGGAUCGCAAUGGAAGCAGCAAGGGCACUUGCUUAUCUACACUCAGCUGCUGCAAUACCAAUUUUUCAUAGAGACGUCAAGUCUUCCAAUAUACUCUUGGAUGAAAAUUUCACCACAAAGGUUUCGGACUUUGGUGCUUCAAGAUCUCUUUCACUUGAAGAAACUCGUGUGGUGACAAUUGUACAAGGAACAUUCGGUUACUUGGAUCCAGAGUAUUAUCAUACUGGUGAACUAACUGAGAAGAGUGAUGUAUAUAGUUUCGGAGUGAUACUUGUGGAACUUUUGACAAGGAAAAAACCAAUUUUUAUCAACUCUGUAGGCGCGAAACAAAGCUUGUCUCGUUACUUCAUUGAAGGGCUUCAUGAAGGGGCUGUUAUGGAAAUAAUAGAUUCACGUAUUGUGGAAGAGGCAGACCAAGAAGAGAUUAAUGACAUUGCCUCACUUACAGAAGCAUGCUUAAGGGACAAAGGAGGACAGAGACCAACAAUGAAAGAAGUAGAGAUGAGGUUGCAGUUUCUAAGAACAAAGAGACUUAGAAAAGGUUUAGCUGAAAAAGAUGCAGAUAUUGAGCCUUUGUUAUGCCCACAAGAUAAGAACUUAUAUGGGCAUAUCGAUCUUGUCAAUGCUGGGAGCUCUGGGUGCUACAGUUUGGAGCAAGAAUUUGCAUCUUUGCCACGCUAAUUACAUUUGUGCAAGAUAACCGAUGGCUUGCUUGGAUGUUGAAUAUAAUGCAUCUGAGGUAUCAUGUAUUUUAUUGAAGAUUCACAUUAUAUUAGUUUCCUUUCGAUGAUACUAUAUCACAUAGAUGCAUUUCACGUGUACAAUAUAUUGUAGACCGCUACUGUUGUAUACGUUUUAUAUUUGUACAUAAGUCACUGUACUAAAGAUAAGCUUGUAUAAGAAAACUGUUGUGGUUAUCAAUUGGGUAUAAAUUGCCAGUGGCUUAAUAGGUGGUUCCAGUAGACCGCUGACUGAUAUACGGAAUAUGAUUUAAGCUGCAACAUAUUACGGCAUCUUUUUGCAAAGUAUUAGCAUGAUUAUUAUGAAGUGACACUCAUAACUCAAAGAUCUGGCAUGACGCCAUGACGGCAUCAGGACAAUAGGAACCUCACUCUUCCGUUGCAUGUCUUUUCAUGUGACAGUAUUGAAAAGUGUUGAACAGAGAAUUUUUUUUUAGUAACCUACGGCUGGUAAAGCGCCAACCUGAACUUCUCAUUAAAGAUUGUGGUAAACCACGGAUUACAUAGCACAGAGGUACAACUCGAACCAGCACAACAACAAACAAAAGGGUGAAAGAAAUACGGAACUAGGAGAAAACAUAAGGAAAACAGCAGAGUCUCCUAGAGAGGCUCCAACCUGAAGGACCGAGCAAACUUAUGCAACCUUUUGGAAACAUCCACCGAUUGCCGAUGGGCACCACCCCGAGUAACAUACUUGCCGGCUGGCCAAGGCCAAUGCGCUUCCAACACCUGUCGUCACUGCGCCACACCGUUAUCGCCCUUCCACGUCCGACGAGGGGAGGAAUCCACGAAGGAUGAAGGGACCACCCAACGUAGGGGGAAUUAAAGGUGAAGGAACCACACCGAUUGAAGCUCACCGGAGACACCGACCUCCCCUAAAGCUAAUGGCAACACCUUUCACAGCACAUCCAGGUUCCACUUGCCACCAUCCAACGCCCUUCAAGGGGAGGAAAUCAAGAAGGAGGGAAGGCCAACAACCAUGAAAAGACCCCAGCAUUUGAUUUGAUGGCACCAUCAACAAGGAAUGCGGCGAUGAAGCAGAGGCACCAGCAGUGUUCUCACUGGCUUGCGGAAGAUGCUAGCAGCAGGGAACCAAGAGGCCAGUCACAUAGGCCGCAGGAGCAGGAGCGCCAAGAGGACGAAGACAUACAGAUCAGAAGGUGGAUCUCUGAAGAGGCUCGUGGAUGACCACCGAAGUGGAGGUGACCCGCCUCAUCCGACGAGGAGGCCAGACAGGGGCCAAAACCCAUGCAAAAGAUGCCUGACGUCCUGCUUCAAGAAGAACAUGAUGCUAGAGGCGCCAUCGACGCCGUCCCAAGGAGAGAUGGGUUUUCACCCGCAUCGUCAUCACGGUGAAAGGAUGGCCGACGUGGAGGCCAGACAGGGGCCAAAGCCUGUGCAAGAGAUGCCCGACGUCGCCUUCAGGAAGGACAUGACACCAAUGGCGCCAUCGACGCCAUCCCAAGGAGGGAUAGGGUUUCACCCGUAUCGUCGUCGCGGUGAAAAGACGGCCGACACCACCAGCCCCACCACCAUGGCGCUGCUGGUGGGCCCCCGCGUGGUCGCAUCCAACAACGCUGGAAUGCGCCCGAGCACACCAAUGUUGACCACACCACCACGGCGCCACCAACACACCGCCGCACAGCACAUGGAACCCACCCGCUGCAGGUGCAGGCCGUGACGCCCCAGCGGGGCGCCGCAACCUGUCCCCGCACGUCGGCCGCACGGUCCGCCAUGGCAGGUAGCCGCAGCCAUGCCCGCACCGGCCGCCGACACCGCUGCAGCCGAGCCGCGGACGCGACCGCAGACGCCGGCGCUGUCGUGGCCCAGCCAAGGCUACGCUGGCCAUGGAGGAGGCCACCGGCGGGGCACACCGCCAAAGCAGGGCCCCCACCCGUCGACACCCCAGCCACACCCGCACCGGCCGCCUACGCCAUCGUAGCCACGGCCGUAGACGCCGCCGCCCAGCCGAAGCUCCAUCCUGGCGGGCCACUGCGACGAACAAAUGGCCCGCGCUGGCGCAGCCGUCGUUCUUGCCAUCGCCGUCGCCGACCUUCCGCCACGGGCGCUCACGCUGUCACCGACCGUGAGGCGACCGCCGAGCCGCGGCCCAAGCCGGCGGUGGCCGCGGAUAGCGCUGGAGCGGCGGCCGGAGCAGAACAGGAGGCCGCGCACGCCAUGCUCGAAGAAGAGGACCCCGCCCGCGGCGAGGAAAGGCCACCGCACUGUUCGGGCAGGCGGAGAUCCGUGCGGCCAACCCCAAGCACGCCGUCGUUGCCGCAAACCCUACACGCCGAGGCCCGGGGGAAGCGGAUCCGGCGGCCGAGGGCGCGGAUCCGGCCGUGGAUGGCCGGCGACCGCCGCCUCCGCCAUGGACGCCACCAAGAAGAGCGCGAGGGGGGGGGGGGGCAGGAGAGGAGGGUGGUGGAGCCCCGCCGUCGCCUUCCUUGCGGCCGCAUGGACUUCCGGCAGCCGCUCAGGCGACGGCGAGGAGGGGAGGCGGUGCUGGAAGGGGCCGCGGCUCUCGCUUACGUACUCACUCGCUGCAAUGAUAAGAUGGGGAUUGCAAGAAAAAUCUCGGCGUAAAGUAUAUCGGCCAACAGAGAACUUUAGAAUUCCAUUUGCUGAUUUGAAAAGUACACUCUAGCUAAUAACACUACAUAUGCGACUGUUCUGCAUAUAGAAAUAUAGAAAAUCCAUGUGAGCGCGUGUGGAUCAGUACCUACCUUCGGAAUAUUUCGUACCAAACCAUUUUGUCAAUAAAUCAAGCAGUACAUUCCAUUGAGAUGGCCAUGUGCCAAGGGAGCGUACCAAUUAUAGGAGACGACACUAGCCAAUGCCACGGGGCCCCGUUGGCCGGCUGCUCCUUGCGCUGUGAGCGUGGGAUGAGCUAGGAGAAGAUCCCGAGCGCGAGGAGCCUGCCCCGCCUGCCGAUUCCACUUGAUCUGUCGAGCUGCGGCGACCUCGAUAGCGAAGAGCGGCGCUGGCCGCUGGGCAUAGUCGGCGGCGAUGACGACGUCGACGAGGAGCGGUGCCGGCAGCGCGAGGUUCGGGCUCAAAGUUGUUAUUAGAUGGACCGCCGCGGUGCUUUCGUGAAAGGUGGCCCGCGAAGUGCCCCGUGGGCCGAGGAGCGUGCGUGCGCCGACGAGGGUUAUUUUCAGCCCAAUAGUGCCGCAUUACCGGUAUGUGAUUUGUCUGGGCUCUUGUCAGCUAUCAUAUUUGAGUUAAAUUCCAUUUAAAAUCAUCGAUCAAUUACACUCUAAUCUGCAGAAAACUUCCAAUCCAGAUCAAGAAAAUGGAAAUGACAGAAUCCAGAGUUCCAGACAAAAUAGCUUCAAGGAAAAAGAAAUAGCAGAACCCAGAAAGCAAAAAAACUGUAGAGGAUGUUGUUGGGAGUCGCUCUGGCUCCAGCCGCCAUCCCCGACGCCCUGCCCACCUCUCCCCCACCCACCUCACCAACGCCCACCCUGCUGCCCGGCACCACGCCGUCAGCAACACCCAACCUAAACCAAGAACCUCACUCCCCAACUACCCCACAAUCCCGCACCCUGCACCCAAACCCUGAGGAUGCCAUCGACCUUCUCCUUUACUCCUCCCCGGAGUUCGAGGAUAUGCCACUGAGAGGGUGUUUGGAUACUGGAUGCUAAAAUUUAGCAGUGUCACAUCGGAUGUUUGAAUGCUAAUUAGGAGAACUAAACAUGAGCUAAUUAUAAAACUAAUUGCAAAACCUUGUGCUAAUUCGUGAGACGAAUCUUAUUAAGCCUAAUUAAUUCAUCAUUAGCAAAUGGUUACUGUAGCACCACGUUGUCAAAUCAUGGACUAAUUAGGCUUAAUUAAUUCGUCUCGCAAAUUGGUCUAUGUUUAAUACUUCUACUUAGCAUCAAACAUCCGGGGUGACAGGGGUGUAUCCAAACACCCCCAGAAGAAGACGGAGGACUCGCUAGCAACGGCAUUGAAGACGGAUAGCAAAGAAAAGGUGAGCGAAUCCCGCGACAAAGGUGUUGUGCGAUAGCAGCCGCUGUGCUCCGUCAUAAUCAAGCGGCGGGACACCGGGUCUCGUACAAAGACACACUGCGGCGGAAGAAAACCUACAAGCCACGCCAUACUGAUAGCUCGGCGAGCGCAGUUCAUCAAUGGCAUGAAGUUCAGUCGAGGAAGAGCACUAGCAACCGGGCAACAGUGUGGUCCCGGCUCGGUAAGGAACACGCCAACAUUCAUGGCGGUAGGCUCGGAGGAGGAAGCGUACGGGGGCGACUUCAACCACGCCCACGGGAAGGACAUCUUCCCGUGCUGCUGAAAGCUAAAGCAGGGAGACGCUGCUUCAACUGCUUUGCACCGGACCACCAAAUAGCGCAGUGUAGAGAUCCUCCCAAGUGUCUCUUGUGCUUGAGGUUCGGCCACAAAGCAAGAUCCUGCAAAGCUGCGCCUUCGAGGGAGACCAAGAGCAGGGGUAAGGAGCCGGCGAGUUCAUCUGCCUCAGGUGAACAGAAGCAAGCGCAACAAGGACGGAAGGUGAUGGAUUUUCCUGAGUUCGUGUCAGGCGCGUCGGAGAACCGCCCGCGGUGGGUGGUGGCGUGCGCGGCGAGAACGUAGGACAUCAGAGAGGCGGAGCGCCAACGCGAGAUUAACGCUCUCGUCGGCGUACAGAUUGAUGCCAGGGUGCCGAUAGGCGCCGGGCAGGUGGCCCGGGAUGUUCGACAGCAGCUACACAUCCCGGACCACGCUCUAGAAGCUCAGACCAUGGGGCCAACAACGUUCCUCCUCCGCUUUGGAUCGCCGGAACUGCGGAACUCCGUCCUGGCGAUGCGCGCAUUGCCGACGGGCAACACUGGGCUUCGCCUCAUGCCAUGGAGCAAGCGAGCUCGCGCCACAGUGGGCUCUCUGCGGUACAGAGCGCGCGUUUGCCUAGAGGGAGUGCCCAGCCACGCAUGUCAUCCUGACACGGUAAAGCAACUGUUCAACUCUCCUUCAUUCAUAGACGAGAUUGAUUAUGAGGUGGUUCGUGAUGUGGAGAGAUCUUGCUUCAACCUCUGGGUAUGGAUGGCUGACCCCAACGGAUUGACAAAACAAGCAAUCCUCAAGAUUGAAGAACCUUAUGUGAGAGUAGGUCCAUCCGGCUUGCCCAUUGUGCGCAAUGAGGCUGCGCGCACAUUGGACUAUAAACUGCUCAUUCACCUGGAUCGUGUGCUGGAUUACGCCCCUCUCCCCAACAGCCCAUCGCACGCAAGUUAUGAGAGUGAUAUCAGCGGAAUCCCUGAUGAGGAACCGGAAGAGGAGUGGCCGGUGUGUCACCACUUUGCUUGGUACCCAGGCGUCCCGGAUGGUGAGCGGCUGCCAAUCAUGGGCGACCGUGUUUCAGUGCACGCCAGGCUUGGGGGCACCGAGAUCGCUCGCCGCCGGGAGGUGGAGGUUCAGGCAGUUUUGGAGGCCGGCCAUUCCAACAGAUGUCGCCCGCCACUUGGCGCGACGUGCCCGGAAGUCAAGGUCCUGCUGGUCAACGGCGAGGUGCAGCCGGCAGUCAUGGUGGUCGCUGGCAUGACUCCGGCGAAGGCCAAUGGAUGGGCAGCCAGCAGCCAACCCCACAGCAUGGGCCGGGUGGUGACACUGUGGACACACUCUCGGUGAGCGCUGGGAAAGAAGUCCAUCCGCCUUUACAAGAUGCAGAAGACAGUUUCCUAUUUGGUGAAACACUGUCGGGUCAGCAUACAAUGGACCCUAUGCAAGAUGAAGCAGCAGGGUCAGGCCGUGCAGCAGGUUGGGGGUGCUUGAGAGCCAAACAACUGUCGCACAGAAGAGAUUGAGUAUACACUUGCUCAUAGAUUUGAAACCCAGUGUCAGUACAUGGACCCAAUGGUCGUGGAAGUCAACAAGGUGCUACAGGAUGAGAAAGUGAGGACAAAUGUGGUGUAGAAUAGCCCAGAACCUGACAAGAGCGAGGGAACGGUUGUAGUGCAGGAGGAGGCACCAAUUUCAAAUGGGCAGCCCGUUUUCGGACAGCCUACAGUGCUGGAGUUCCAAACUGUUGAAACUCAGAUUACAUAUAAGCUGCAGAUUAAUUCAGAAAGGGAGGGGAGCUUGGAAGAUGCAAAUUGGGUGGUUGAUGAAAAUGGGCAGGAGCUACAGAUGGAUCCUCGUUUAUCAUCCCUACAAAAUGAAAACCUGCAAGCAGACUGCCCACCGGUUCAGAGGAAACUUAUAUGUGCAAAGAAACUGCCAGAACCUUUGCUCCAGCAGCAGGUGGCCACAGAAGAAACCAGGGCUGACACUCAGAGCAAAGAUAGUAAACUGAAGAGUAAACCUGCUCAAACACCAUCCUCAAGGAAAAGUGCAAGAAUUGCUAGCAAGGGAAAGUCAGACCUCACAAUGGAGGAACAGGCCACUGCACUAUUGAUGAGGAAGUGUGGUUUCCUGCAGGAGAAUAAGAUGCCAGAUUCUGAAACACAAGCCAAAUUCAGUUCGAAGUUUGCUGAACCCCUUGAGUAGCAGACAGUUGGUAACUUCAGGGAGACCUUUGGCCUGAAUGAGGGAGGUGGUGCUGAUCUUUUGGGCACCAUUGCAAUUGAUGCAGAAGCCUGAAUCUGUGGUGAAACCUGGGAUGUGGGGAUGUUGUGUUAUGUUGCUGUCAUUGUGUUGGCUUCUCUGGCUCAGCCUGUGUUUGUGCAAUCCUGUUGGUGUGUGCCUGUCUUUUAUUUCGAGUUUGUGUUUGAUCCCCACAUUCCGGACUGAGUGUUUCAGUAGGUGUUCAUCGUAUCUGUGGGCUACUCUUCCUGAUGUCUGUAACUGGAAGAGGGUUGUGUUGGAGAUGUUGUAGUUUUUACUAUGAAUAGUCAAAAUUGUGUUGUGUUAAAUUGGAAUGUAAGGGGGCUAAACAACCCAGUGAGGAGAGUGGUUAGAGACCUAGCUUAUGACACAAGAUGCUCCAUAGCUUGUCUUCAAGAAACCAAACUUUAGAAUGUUGAUUUAGAGGUGAUAAAUGACACAUUGGGCUAUCAAUUCCAGCAACACUUUGUGUUUCUGCCAGCCCAGCAAACUAGAGGUGGAGCCCUGUUGGCAGUGCAUCAAGAUUUUUACAGAACAGUUGACUCUAUAAUUGCAACCCGCACAGUGUCAGCAAAGAUCCAGGCCACAACCACACUUGCAGAAUGGUGGGUGACAGUGGUUUAUGGUCCACUGGGAGACAGUGAGAAACUGCAAUUCUUACGAGAGCUAAGGUAAAUUAAGCAACAAAUGUCUGAUAAUUGGCUACUCAUUGGUGAUUUCAACAUGAUCCUAGCUGCUGAAGAUAAGAGCAAUACCAACCUGAACAGAAGGUUAAUGGGGGAAUUCAGAACUCUGGUCAAUGAUCUGGAAUUAAAAGAAGUAAAGAACUGAAGCUCAGAGGGAGGAAAUUUACAUGGUCCAAUGACAUCACACAAACAAGAAUAGAUAAGGCCCUUUGCAUAGUAGAAUGGGACAUUAUGCUUCCAAAUUGUACCCUACAAGCUGCCUCAUCAUCAGUUUCAGAUCACUGUCCACUACUGCUUGUGGGGAAUUCCAUAGUAAAAAAAUACAGAGGUCUUCGUUUUGAAUCUUUCUGGCCAAGACUACAGGGAUUCAGGGAGGUGGUGAUGGAAGUAUGGGGAAGGCAAGUCCAAGUUCAGAACCCUUUUCUAAGGCUUCAUAUUAAGAUGGAAAGAUUGGGGAAAGCACACAGGAAAUGGUCAAGAGGAAAAGUAGGCAACAACAGGUUACUGCUAUGUGCUGCAAGCCUGCAAAACAGUUGGUAGCAAUACUGGAUGUGGUGCAAGACUUCAGACACCUGACUGAGCUAGAGGUGGCACUGAAAAGAGACUUAAAAGCAAGGAUUCUAGGAAUGACAGCCAUUGAAAAAAUUAGAGCCAAACAACAAUCUAGGCUGGCACACAUCAGAGCAGCAGAAGCACAAGCCAAGCUUUUCCAUGUGCAUUUAAAUGGCAGAAGAAGAAAAAUAUUUAUCCAAUCCUUGGAUACAGGAGACAUGACCAUACAUCUUCAUGAGGAAAAGGAGGAAUAUAUCUUUCAACAUUUCAGUAACCAAUUUGGGCAUGUCACACAAAGAUCCCACAUCUUAGAUUGGGACCUCAUUCAGUUAAAUAGGCUCCAAGAGAAUAAUCUGGAAGAUGAUUUCACUGAGGAGGAAGUGUGGGAUAUGAUAAAAAAUAUGGCAUCUGAAAAGGAGCUCCAGGACCAGACGGAUAUAUAGGAGUGUUCUUUAAAUCUGCCUGGGACAUUGUUAAACAGGAUGUCAUAACUACAAUCUCAUACUUCCAUAGGCAACAUGGACAACACUUUGGGCAGAUAAAUAAAGCUCAUUCGGUUCUUAUCCCAAAAACUGAAGAUGCAAGGUGUCUGAGCAGCUACAGACCUAUAAGUUUGACCCACAGUGUGACAGAAAUCAUAUCCAAGCUUCUAGAUAACAGAUUGGCCCCACACUUGCAGUAUUUGGUCUCAAGAACACAAAGUGCCUUCAUAAAAAAUAGAAGUAUACAGGACAACUUCCUCUUCACCCAGAAUCUUGUCAAACAUCUACACAGAGCAAAAAAACCAACAAUCUUCCUGAAGCUAGACAUUAAGAAGGCCUUUGACAGUGUGAGGUGGGAUUUCUUGAUAGAAGUUCUGCAAGAAAUGGGGUUUGGGCCGAGAUGGAGAGCAUGGGUGACAAUCCUCCUCUCUACAACAACCACUUCAGUGUUACUGAAUGGAGCAAGAGGGCCUUGGUUCAGGCAUAAAAUUGGUUUAUGCUAAGGGUAUCCUUUGAGUCCUUUGCUUUUCAUCCUUGCAAUAGAACCACUACACAAGAUGUUGUCAAUUGCAGAAGCAGAAGGCCUGUUGUCGCCAAUACAACAUAGUUCCACCACAGCAAGAAUAAGCAUGUAUGUCGAUGAUGUUGCUCUUUUUCUGAAACCCAACAGUGCAGAAAUGAAAGUAAUAAGUGAUGUGCUGCAUGAAUUUGGCAUGGCUUCUGGGCUAGUGACGAAUACGACCAAGAGUGCAGCAUAUCCCAUUCGCUGUACUGGUCUGAACUUAGAAGAGGUGUUGCAGAAUUUCCAAUGCCCUAUCAAAUCUUUUCCCUGUACUUACUUGGGACUGCCUUUGCACACAAGAGCCCUCAGACGGGUGGAUGUGCAACCUCUAAUUGAUAAAGUAGCAAAGAGGCUACCCUCAUGGAAAGGCAGGCUGCUUAACAAGUCAGGAAGAUUAACACUUGUCAAUUCAGUUCUAUCUGCAAUCCCAACGUACUUCCUCAUAGUCUUUGCUCCAAAAAAAUGGACUAUCAAGAGAAUUGAUAAAAUUAGAAGAAGCUUCCUAUGGAAGGGAGCCGAUGAUGUUAAUGGUGGCCACUGCUUGUUGAGAUGGACUAAUAUACAAAAGCCUAAGAAGCUUGGGGGGCUAGGAAUUCUUGAUCUUGAACGUUUCAGCAGAGCCUAAGACUCAGGUGGGUGUGGUACAAAUGGGAAGAGCCUGAUCGGCCAUGGGUGGGAAAUGAAGCGCCUGUGCAUGAAACUAACUUGCAACUCUUUAGAGCCAAUACACGAGUAAACGUUGGAAAUGGCCAAACAACAGAAUUUUGGAACUCUACAUGGCUAAAUGGUCAGGCACCUAGAGAUAUUGCCCCCAACCUCUAUAAGCUCGCCUGGAGAAAGCACAGAUCGGUUCAACAAGAGGUACAAGACCAUAGUUGGACAAGGGGACUUUUGAGAAUGAGCACAGCAACUGAAAUGGCUGAAUUUGUACAACUGUGAGACUUGGUGCAGCACAUAACACUCACUGAUUUGCCAGAUGACAUUGUGUGGAAAUGGAUAGUAGAUGGGAAUUACACCGCCAAAACUGCUUACCUGGCCCAAUUCAAAGGAUCGUAUUGUUCUUUUCAAGCACAUGAUGUAUGGAGGGUAGAAGUGGAAGGCAAACAUAGGUUCUUUGCAUGGCUGUUGCUUCAAAGGAAAAUUCUGACUGCUGAUAAACUUAUGGCAAGAAAUUGACCUUGCAAUCCAGUUUGCCCAUUAUGUAACAAUGAGUCUGAAACUACUACCCAUAUAUGUGUUCACUGCCCUUUUGCAUUGCUGGUCUGGAGCAAGGUUGCUAGCUGGACCGUUGGAAUGAUUUCUGUGCCAAUGGCGAACAUGAACCAUCAUGAUUGGUGGUCAUCUUCAAUCAACACCGUCAGAAAAGAAAAGAGGAGGGGCAACGGCAGCAAUAUUAAUUUACACAACUUGGAAUCUCUGGAAGGAACGGAAUCAAAGAAUAUUUGAAGGAAUCCGGCGUUCACCGCCAGAAGUGUUCAACCUGAUCAAGGAAGAGGUUGGUUUAUGGCAAAGUGCUUGCGGCGCACCGAGCGUAUAAUAGUGUUUCUUUAGUGCAAACAUGUGUCAUGAGCUACGCGUUUUAAUUGUUUUUCAUGUAAUCUAAAUUAUGUAAGACAAACAAUCUCUCUUGUCUUAUAUAUGGCAGUGCUCCUGCCCUUUUACGUUUCAAAAAAACCGUAGAACGAACAUGGCAGAGGCAGGCUUCUAAACUCCCUUAUGCCUGAAUUUUUCAGAGAUCUUCUGGCAUUUCCCGAUGACCGAUGGCCGGACCCUGCUACUCCGCAUCCCCGCAGCUGCGCGAAGGCCCUCUGCUCCACGGACGAGACGAAACAGUGUUGGCCCCGGACUCGAUGACAGGCGGGCGGCGGCGGCACGCCAGUGCAAUAAACAGGCCCCGACGAUCUUCACAGCUAGCAUGUGGGCAGGCUAGAAAAAUUGUGCGCAUGGACGGAUCGGCGUUUCUUCCCUCAACCUCCGCGAUUCUGUUCCAUGCUCACAAUAUCACUAGAUUCUUCCUGGAAGAUCAGCAGAACAACACCACCGAUCCACCUGCAAGGACGCAGCCAGGCUCCUCCGGAUGGUGUACAGGACUACAGGUACACGCAGAUGCAGCGAUUGCAAGAUACCAGAGGUACAGAUCAAGGAAAGCAGGCACUGCAAUUUUCAUGCAGGACAACACAGACAAUACAAGACAGGAAAUCCUCAUUCAGGCAGUACAUAUACAAUGCCCGGUGCGUCAAGCACUUCUGCAUGUUGGCGAAUUCAGCCUCAUCUCUGAAAACUGCCUAUGAUUUGGAAUAACAUCCUGAGUAUUAAAAGAAAACCAUCUUUGCAAGUUGGUUCAAGAUACUACAAGAAAGGCCACAUCAAGACACAAACUAGCUAGUAACUAUACUUUGCAAUACAUUCAUCAUUAAUGAAAUCUUCUUCACGGUUGAACAAUCGGUAUGUGUUAUGGUUUAGCGUACCACUUCACUAUGAUGAAAGUGAGACCAUGAUGUAAGGCAUCUUAACAAAUUCAUCAAGGUUGUGUCGCUACUCGCUAGGGCCAAUCAUCAAAGGAACAUUGUACAAGAUAUAACUGCCAUUUUAGCAUGUGAGCAUGAACCACGAAGGAAAAGGUUAACAGUCAAAAUUAAGUGUCCAUAUAGAAUCUGUGUAACUCUCUGCCAUUGCAUAUUCUGAUGUUCCAGAGAUGCAGAUAAAAAUAAUGUAAGACUAAUGUUAGGGUCUUACGGAUAUCAAGCAAAAGGCAAGUCUUAUCAACCUUAUAGACAAAUGAAGUCACCGAGUGUCGAACUAUUCAUCAAUUAAGCUUAACAAUAGAUAUAACCUCUGAAACUGGCUUAAAAGCACAAGCUAACAAUGCACCUCUAAGGGCAGCCACAAUGUUGCAAGAAGUUAGCAGUAGGCAAUAAAUCUAAGCAAAGUUAUAGGAAAAACAAACUGAAUCCAAUAAUGAAGUAAAGAAGCACGUACCUGUAUUCUGCACAGUGUUUUUAUGACAG
rnacentral:lncRNA from 1 species